rnacentral:lncRNA from 1 species
AGGUUGGGCAGUUCCCACAGUUUCUUACUUAUAGUUCCUUUUAACUGAUUCUCAUAGAGGAUCAGAUGUGUUAGGGAUGUAAACUUUUGGAUGUCAUCAGGCAAUGACCCUGUAAAUUGGCUUCCUGAAGCAGACAACCGUUGUAAUGAAAGCGAUGUGCAUCCAGACAAGUUGUUGAGAAAAUCAGGAAAUUUGAUAACACCAAAGUUGUUAUAGAAGUAAAAAUGUUCCAAACUACAGAGGUUACCAAGAUAUUUGGGUAUCCCAUCUAACAUGUUUCUGGAGAGAUCAAGGAUGUGAAGCUUAUUGCUGGUCAAUGGGAACAACCAACGAUACAUGGAUGAGGUGAGACUGUUGUUUCUAAGAGAAAGGUCUACAAUAGAUGAGGAAGAAGAAGAGUUGAGAAAUGAAGAAGAAUAUGGAUACAUGACCUGUGACAGCUCACAUCCAUCUAAACUUAAAAGCCAGAGUUUCGGGAGACUGAGAAUAACAUCUACCCAAUGAUUUGUUUUGGCCAGUGAAAUCCCAUCCAUUUCAAGUACCUCCAAAUGAGAUAGAGGAGACAACCACUCAAGGUUCUCAAGUCUACACAUUCCAGCAUAUGAAAGGGAAAGCAAUUCCAAGUUGGUGAGGUUUCCCAACUCUGGAGGAAUGGUUCCAUAAAGAGAAUUAGAUGAAAGGUCAAGGUAUUUUAAUUCUGUCAAGGAACCAAUGGACCUGGGAAUGGUUCCAUUAAGAUUAUUGCCGCCAAGGUCAAGGUACCUUAAUUGAGUCAACGAACCAAUGAUCGUGGGAAUGGUUCCAUUAAGAUUAUUGCCGCCAAGGUCAAGGUACCUUAAUUGAGUCAACGAACCAAUGAUCGUGGGAAUGGUUCCAUUAAGAUUAUUAUAGCCAAGGUAAAGGGACCUUAAUCGAGUCAAGGAACCAAUGGACCUGGGAAUGGGUCCAUUAAGAUUAUUGCCGCCAAGGUCAAGGUGCCUUAAUUGAGUCAACGAACCAAUGAUUACAGGAAUGUUUCCAUGAAAAGAAUUGUAGUGAAGAUCAAGAUGAUUCAAGUAGGUUAAGUUAACCAAUGAAUGGCUAAUCUCACCUACAAGACCAAAGAGCAUCAGAUCAAGAUCUGUGACAUGACCUGUUUGGUUGUUGCACGUUACUCCACUCCAUUCACAGCAGUUGUCUUGUUCAGCUGUCCACAUAGAGAGGCGAUCAGAAGGGUCUUGAAGGAGAGAUUUGAAAUGAAGGAGAGCGUCUUUCUCCUUCUCAAAACACCUGUUCACACCGCCAUUAUCAUCUCCUCCCUCCACUGCUGCCAAUUGGUUGGCACUUGUAGUCUCAAGACAUAGCAAGAGAAGUGAGAAUAUUAUAACAACACAAGGAUGCAUGAUGUAAAAUUGUAAAUGCAAAUCUUAAUUGGUGAUUUUUUUUUUGUUUGUAUUGAUGAAAAUUUGAAGAUGCCCCAUGCAGCUUUAUAUAGUGCUGCCAACUGUGAAAAUGAAGGAUUCAAGUGGAUGGCCUCAAACUGCACAACUAUUUGUUGGUCAUUUAUUAAAAAUUAAGAUAAAAUAUUAACCAGCCAAGUGAAAUUACAAUGCAUAAAAUAUUAGUGUAAAUUACACAGAAAUAGAAUGGUUCAAGUAAAGACAAUAAUUCUCGUGAGAACGCGUAGGAACAAAAUUCUUUUUUUCCUCUUUUUUCAUCAAUAUGGAAACAUAUUUUAAGGCUAAAAAAUAAUAAAUUCUGGUGUUCUUUAAUAAAGUAAAACAAUAUAUAAUAAAAAAUCAACACCAUUCAUCAACGAAUACAGUUUUAGAAAAAUAUAUAUAUUUUUUAUUUUGGUAUGGAUGUUUAAUUGUAAGGCCUAAAAAAUAGAGAUUUUCGUAUAUUUGUUAAAAAUAAAUAAUUAACAUUCGAUCAUCUGUGAAAACAACAUACUCAUCAAUGAAAUAAAGUGCUAUAAAACACUUCCUAUAUCAAUAUAAAUGUCUAUUUUUACGUCAUAAAAAGAUAUUUUGGUAUACUUGUUUUUUUUUCGGAAAAGAUAAAAAUAAUUAAGCAAAUUCAUCAAUGAAAACACCAUAUUCGUCAAUGAACAAACUGUUAAUAAAGACUUUGUAUAUCAAUUUGAUUAUCUAAUUGUAUAAUCUACAAAUAUAUAAAUUUGGGUAUUUUUGUUUUUAUUUUUUGGUAAAGCUUGGCGGCACAUACAAGCCUUGAAGUCAUGGCGCGCCAUGGCGGAGCCAUGACGAGCUUUUUAGAACCUUGAUAUAUAUAUACAAACAAACAUAUUUUAUAAAGUAUAAAUUCACUUNNNNNNNNNNNNNNNNNNNNNNNNNNNNNNNNNNNNNNNNNNNNNNNNNNNNNNNNNNNNNNNNNNNNNNNNNNNNNNNUAUAUAUAUAUAUAUUCUUAAAAAAUAAAAGAUAACAAAAGAUAGGCAUAUUCAUCAACAAUGGUUUAUUAUUUCUCAUUUUUAGAAACAAACUAUAAGAAAAAUUAGAAAAGAAGAAUUGAAAUAAGUUGCCCCAAAUCAAUCGUUCAAAGACUUAUACAUCAUGCGGGCCAUAAAAUCCUUAUUUUCCUUUGAAAUAGAAUCAUUUUAUAAGGCAGAUUAGAAAAAGAAAAAUUGAAAUAAAUUGCCCCAAAUCAUACGAUUCAAAAGCUUAUACAUCAUGUGGAGCAUUAAAGAUGAAGAAUUGAAAUGAAUAGCCCCAUAUUAGACGUUCAAAGGCGUAUAUCUUAUCUGGAGUAUACAAAACUUAAUUCCCAUCGCAUCAUAAUAACCAAACUAUAAGACAAAUUCGACAUGAAGAAUUGAAAUAAUUUGCCCCAAAUUAGACGUUCAAAGACUUCCAGGCUUUGGAAAUUUGUAUUUUUUCAUUUUGUGAUAUCUUUUGGUCCUCAUGUUAACUCAAAGUGGAAAGAAAAAUAAUAAUAAAUAAAUAAUCAGCCUCUACGGGCCUAAGUGCUGAGUGAUAAAUGAUGGGUCUUCAGAGAAUGUUUUUGGAUAAAAUUAGACUAAUUGUUUUUGUAUUUUGCAAAGAAUAAACCGUUCAAAUAAGAGCAAAUGGCCAUUUUACCCUUGUAUCUAAAAGUGAUGUAGAAUUAGAAUAGCAAAUUGUUGUUUGUUUGAGAACUAUUGUAAUUUGAAACUAAAAAUCAAUGUGAUGCGACCAUGAGACUUGUAUAUGUUUGUGAAAAACUACCAUAACUGUCUUGGUCUUGUAGUUUUUAAAGAAGUUGAGACACGAUGAACGCAACAUGCAUGCUGUAGAAGACCUUUAUCAAAGCAAACUUGCAGUGUAAUCUUACCAUUUGUCAACAUAAUUUGGAAAUAUCAUAUGAAUUCUUUCCCUACAGAUAGAGCAAAACCCUUUUUAAAGGAUCGUUUCCCCAAAACAACAAAUCAGAAUGCAAACGAGUGGUUAUAUUCACAAACAUUGAAUUAAACCCCAAUUUAACAAGAAUUUAUGCAUCUCGUCUUCCUUUUCAGUUAUUAAACAACUUCCAUUUAUGUCUAAUUGACACAAUUCUUCCAAUCCUAUGCAGAUUUACUAUCCUAAACAGAUAUGUGAUACCAUUUAUAAAAGUUCCAACUUACAACAUAAACAUAAACCCAUAAACAACUCCAAUUUAAGGAAUCUAUUAUAAAAUUGUCAAUUUAAGCAAAAAGGCACCGUUUAACGUCAAAACUGAAAUUUUUUAAAGAAACAGAGAAACAUUAUUAACAGAAAUGGGAGAACAGAGAAUGGAGAAGAAGAAAAAUCGAGAUUGAGAGAACAAAAAAGAGAAUAUAGAUAUCGAGAAUGAGUACUUGAGAUGAUCCAACAACUUUCCUGAUGGAAGACCGAGAGAGGAACGACGAAGACAUCUUGGGAAAGUGAUGGAAGAUGGAGAAAAGUAGACGAAGCAAAGGCUGUAAAACCUAAAAAGAAAAGUAGGUUAAAGGACGAGGGUGAACGAGUAAAAAUCGAACAAAACCAAACCCACAGACCAAAAAAUCAAUAAAAACCAAUAAAAUCAAAAAACCAAAAAACUGAACCCAAAAUACUUUGAGUUUUUAAAAAAAUAAAAUAUUGGGUUUGGUUUCACUUUUAAAAAAUAUAAAAACUAACAAAAACUCAAGGUAUGAAAUAUAUUUAUUCACUGAAUUAUAUGGUAUUUAUUUAUUUAUUGUGUGAGAGAUAAUAAUAGGGAUGAACAUUUGGACCAGAAAACGAAAACGGGCCUGAACCGGAUAGAACCAAUCGGGCCGGGACCGGAACGAUAUUCUUGUGCAUUUUUAGAACCAGAACCGGUAGGAACCGGUCAUUGGAGUCGGCCCAAAACCGGGAACCGGACUGGAUUAAAUAUAACUCAUGUCUGCUGAACUUCCAAUAGUUCUUGGAGGCCUUAAAAAACGAUCGGUCCAUAGUAAGUAAACGUACGGCUACACAAACAAAGCAUAUCAUAUUAAAAAAAAUCCUGCUUGAACCCUAGCGACAACUUGUGUAACGCCCCAUUUCUAGUAUGUAAAUUAAAUAUAGUAUUUUCCCUUUCUUAAGAGGAACUCGACGAGUCAGUAGCCCGACUCGUCGAGUAGAGACGGGAUUUGCACGCGUUUUGAGUGAGCAACUCGACGAGUUCGUAUCCCGAACUCGGCGAGUCCUCCAGGAUGAAACCCUAAAUCCCAGGAUUUGUACCCUAUUUAAAUGUCAUUAUAGCCUCCCACCCCAGCCUCCAACACCUCUAGAGCAUUUCUCUGUAAACCCUACUCCCCAUUGUUGAGCUUGAGUGUUUUUUGCUAGCUUGGAAGUUGUAGAAGAGAAGGGAGGAAAGAAGGCCAAUAGAAGAGAAAGGAGAUCCAGAAUCUAACUUCCAUUUGCUACACAUUCUGGUAAUAAAGUUAUUACCUUGCUUAUUCUUCCAUUAAACCAUAUUUUUAUGCUUGUUUAUGGUUCUCUUGGAACUUUAUAUGAUUCAAACUCGAGAAUUGAACUCUCCUUAGGAUGGAGACCAUAGAUCUGGAUGUUAUUGAGCUUUAGGAGCUCAAUGUAGCUACCUUUAUGAAAGUAUAGCCUUGUUCCAAACUCUAAGUGCUUAUUGUUGGAUGAUUUUGGUGUUUUAGUCCCAUUCUCGUGUGCAUGCACGUAAAGUUGGAAACUUUACGUCUAAAACCAGCCCUGGAAGCCCAAAUAUAUGAAUUGGAUGCAAUAAAAUUGACUAGAAUCGACUAUAUAGUAAUGGCAUGCAUGGAACUCGACUAGUUGUUCAUACAACUCGUCGAGUCAUAGUCUGGACGUGUUCAUAUGAUGAAGGGGAACUCGACGAGUUGUUCAUACAACUCGGCGAGUCGAAUGAAGUUAGACUCGAUGUUAGUAUCAAAGAAGAACUCAUCGAGUUUUUGCCAAACUCGACGAGUUGAAGCAGUUAGAGGAUUAGAAAGGAUGUUAGGGACUUGGCGAGUUGGAGGCCCAACUCGACGAGUCCAGUCAACUAAAAGUUGACUUUGACCAAAAAAUUGACUAUGAACAGGGGUAAAAAUAGUCAUUUUACCCUAAGAGUAGUUAUCGGUAUCUGAUUUAGUGUUUAUGGGAUUUGUAGUCGGGGAGUUCCGGAGCAGCAAUCAGCCAGUUUCAGAUUUAGCAUCUCAGCAGCCAGCGCUACGAGGUGAGUUUCCUUCCAGUAGGAACGGGUCUACGACCAUAAUGUCGGCCCGUUUAGUUAGCAGUAGUUCCGUACUUCGGUCCGAUGCAGUAGUUUGGUGUGCUUGAUGUCUUUGUGAUUCAAACAUUUCUUUGUGUUAUGUGUUAUGAACUUCGGUUCGAUGCAGUAUGUAGUAUAUGUGUUUAUGCUAGUAGAUAUGAUUAUGAUAUGCUAUGUUCAGUAAGUUUCCGGACUUCGGUAUGAUGCAGUUUCCGGACUUCGGUCCGAUGCAGAGGGCAAGGCCCUGGUUAGUUCCGGACUUCAGUCCGAUGCAGUUUCCGGAAUUCGGUCUGAUGCAGAGGGCAAGGCCUUGGUUAGUUCCGGACUUCGGUUCGAUGUUGUUUCCGAACUUCGGUCCGAUGUAGUGGGCAAGGCCCAAUACGUGUUUAUAUGUUAUUGUAUGGUAUGUGGUAGCUUGGGGGAGCUCACUAAGCCUCGUGCUUAUAGUUUCAGUUUUGGUUUUAGGUACUUCAGCUGACAGGGGGAAGGGCUCGGGAUGAUGGCAUGGCACACACCACAGUUUAGCCUGGGAGAUUGACUCUGAUAUUUUGAUAUCAUCUUGACACUAGUUUUGAUUUGAUAGUUUAUUAUGACAUCUGAUAUACAUGAUUUUUGGUUUUUAUCUUUUGAUAUUUGAUAUUAUGGUUUAGCAAUGUUUUUUAAACAAAAAUUUUUAGGUUGUAUUUUUGGGAUGUUUCAACUUCAAAACGCAUGACUAAACCAAUAUCAAAGAAAAAAUUAAGUAGGUUGUUCAUGUUGGACUUCGAUUGUUCGAUCAUCAAUUCAUCAUCAUCUUAAAUCGACAUAUCCACAUCUUGAUUCCAUCCACAUAUGCUCUUAAUCUUAAAUCAACAUUUAUUAUCCACAAAUCCACCAUCAUUGAUCUAGUUCUUAAUUCGUAACCAUCAAUAGGCAAUGCCAAAAGGUGAAAAAAGUAGUCUACAACCAUCAACUUCUCAACAAUCAGCUUAAAAUAAUUCGAUAUAUAGAUGCUCAUGAAGAUCAAGUAAGAUUAUAUAUUUGUAUUUCAUGUUUUAAGUUCCAUUUAACAACGUAGUUUGUAGUUUAUUGAUAGUUGAUUUUAUUUACUUCUUUUUAUAGUUUAUUUUAACAUAUUUCAUCCAUAAUUUAGUUAAUUUCCAUGCAUAUUUUCCUUUUUGUUAUUUUUUGUCCAUUUCGGGUACUUUCUAGUUUUGUGAGCUUAAUUGCAGAUUUUAAGAAGAUUAGCGGAGUGGGAUCUUUAGGAAGCGAUUGGACUUAGAGGAAGUCAAGGAUCUUGGGCUUUAUAAUAAUGGAGUUAAUGCAUGGAGUGGGCUUGAUGAUUAUUUGAAGGCUUGGAGAAAAUGAAGUUUGAAUUUGCAAGAUGCGGGAGAAUAUUCAAGCGUGCGUAGAUCAUUAAUCGGGCGAGUUCACGAGCUUUGGAGGAUUUGGAGAAGUCAAAUUGGGCUUAAAAUGAAGAAAACAUGAAGAAAAAUGGGCUAGGAGUUGAUUGGAUACGAACUAGGCCAAGUGAGCUAAGCUAUGGAGGCCCAAACCUCAAAGAUGCUACGUCCAGGGACCACGCGCGCAACAGUAUGCGGGUCACGCAACCCCUUGCAGGGGCAAUUCCGGAAAUUCUUCUUUUGAGCUAUAUGGGGAAGGUUGGUGUGCCACUUUUUCAAAACUCUUAGACAUCCGAAUUUGGAGCAUUCUCUCUGGAGUUUUGAAGAUUUUUGAAGGCCAAGAACACCUCAAGAACAUCAUCUUUUCACCUCUUGAUUCUUGUUUAAUGUUUGGUACAAUAUUCUCUAACUUUAUUUCUUUGAGUUUAGUCAUGCUUGGCUAAACUAAUCUUGGUUGACUUUUGUUGAAUCCUUUGAACUUUUGUUGAAUGUUGAAGGAUCCAUGAACAUGUUCUUAAAUCUUUAUGGGAAUGUUUUGUGUUUUUUAACAUCUUAUCACUACUUAUAUGUUUUUAUUCAUGAGUUUAAAUGUGUUUGUGGUGAUUAGUUGGCUAAUUUCUUGAUUAAGUAAAGGAUCCUCAAAUUAGCAAGCAACAAAUGAUUUUUGUGUUGUUUUUGCUUCACACAAUCAUAAAAACAUUUUCUCCAACAUGGUAGCAAAAGCAUUCGACUCCACUUGGAUUUGGUGACUUUUUGGUUCUUAAUGCUAGUUGACUUUCACUAAUUACAUGCUUAAUGGAAAUUGUGACUUUAACUAAGGAAAUUGUUAUGAGAGUCUCUAACCAUUUUAACAACUAAGAAAAGUGUAGGUAAUCUCAAGCUGCUUGGAUUACUAUAUCCAAAUUAAGGAUUUAAAACAAGUAUUGCACCAUUGGAUUCUAAUGAUAUGUUCAUCAAAAGUCAAAGUGAGGAAACCUUAAGUCAACCAUCUUCCCCUUAUUGAUUUUACAUCAAACUUGUAUUUUUGUUGAAAUUGUUUAUUUAAAUCUUAGUUUAAUUCUAGUUUAUUUCAAGUAUUUCAAAAGACCAAUCCCCCCAUUUUUAAUUUAUUGUUAUUUUACAAGUAUUUUUACAAAGAGAUAUUUCGUAGAGUUAUAAAAUUGAACCAAUCUCCGUGGAUCGACCACUAUACACUAUUUUAGUGUAAAAGAUUUAGGGUUAUUUAUUUUUGUUGGUCUCGACAACCACCAUUUAUAGACAUACAUGCAAGAUUUUUGUUAGAUUAGUUUGUAGUAUGAAUGUAUGAUUGUCAAAACUAAGAAUUUGUUUAGUAAUAUAAUUAAUGUAUGAUAUUGACAAUGUAGGAUUUGAAUGGGUUACCAAAUAUACCAUCAUCAAGAUACCGAAAAUCGGAUGUUCAUGAUGCUAAUAAUCAAGAUGACAUUCUGACUAAUUGGAUUGGAAAAGACUUUGAUGACCAAGUAAGAAUUGUACUUUUUUUUUGUUUCAACAAUAAAUCGUAAUAUGACUUUUUCUUAAAAUGUUUAUAUCUCAUGAAUUUGAAGUGGGUUUGACAUUAUUAUUUUUCUUACAUGUUAUUUAGGUUUUAUAGAUAACUUUAGACUAUAAAAUCUCUUGAUUUGGUUAAAAAUUGAAUGAGUUACAAGCUCCACAAGGAAGCAUAUGAAAUCAGAUUUUUUUUCUAUUUCAACUUUAAAACGUAAUCUGACUUUUUCUUAAAAUGUUCAUAUCUCACUCAUUUGAAGUGGGAUUGAGAUGAUUCUUUUUUCUACAUGUUAUUCACGUUUUGUAGCUAAUUUUAGAUGAUAAAAACACUUGAUUCGGUAAAAAUUGAAUGAGUUACAAACUCCGCAAGGAAGCAUAUCAAGUUAGAUUUUUUUUUAAUUUUGUUUCAACACUAAAACAUAAUCUGACUUUUUGUUAAAAUAUGCAUAUCUCACUCAUUUUAAGUUGGAUUGACAUGAUUUUUUUCCUACAUGUUUAGGUUUUGUAGCUAAUUUUACACUAUAAAAACUCUUGAUUUGGUUAAAAAUUGAAUGACUUACAAAGCCCGCACGAAAGCAUAUCAAAUCUGACUUUUAUUGUUUCAGCACCAUUUAACAAUGUAGUAAUUUUAUGUUUUAUUUUGAGAAUAUAGGAUUAUGAAGAAGAUACAGAAGAAGUUUAUAUAGAAGAAACAGUGACAUGCCAUGUUAUGCUAAGUGACGAAUCAGAGCAAGAACAGGGGCAUAAGAACAACAACCAUAAAAAAACCAAAAUUUGCAAUCCAGUAGAAACGAAGACAACAACAACAAAACAGCACAAGCAAAAAAUUAAACACCACUACCAAAAAAGCGAACAUGACAAAAAUAUCAAACAACACCAAAACCCAACAACAAAAAAAUUUCUCAAAAGGAGUUAAGGGACCAGAUUAACCCAACCAGGCGAUGUGAGGGUAAAGGUAAUUGUACCGCUCCUAUUUGGGAUUACUUCGAGAUAGAAUGGAUAAAGGCUGAAGAUGGAAUUGAAAGAAAGUGGGACAAAUGUAAUUAUUGUUUAAAAUUACUUGCCGCAGAUGCAGAUCAGAAUGGGACAACUUCAAUAAACAAACAUUUUAAUGGCUGCAAGUAAAAGGAACAUACGUAAAUUAUAACAAUAGUCUCUAAAAUUAGCAAAUUAGGAAUGAUCUUUAUGGUUUGGAAUUUGCAUCGAUUGGUUUCUAAGUCUAUUUUUUCUAUUUUUUCCAAUUAGAAAGUUCUUAUACUUUGAUGUUGUUUUGAAUUUGGUCCCUAAUCAAUGUAAAAAGACAAAAAAUAAUUAAAAAACAUUUUCAUUGUUCCUUUUGUCUUUAAAUUGCUAUCAAAAUGCUUUAAAAUUUUAGACAAUUGCUAUCAAAAUACAAAAUAUACUCUCAAAAUGUAUUAAAUUUUAGUCAAAUGUUGUACAUUCUAGAAAAAAAAAUGGAAGAGGCUUAUAUAUUCUUUACAAUUAUACAUACAUGAAAACGAAUAUAUACUUGAAAAAAUAGUUUUAAAGAAUAUAUAAAAAGAAAGCUAUAAAAAAUUAACGAAAAAAUAUUAAAAAAAUUGAACCAAAACUCUUAUAAAAAGAAAGAUACAUAAUAAAAAAUACAUAAUAGAUCACAAAUGACUUGGAAGGGUAACCAAUUAUAUACUUUGUAUAUAUUUCUGACAUUCCUUACCUCCAGCCACACUUUUAAUCUGGGUUUUUUUUGGAGGAAUCGAACACAACAAAAUCAGAAAAUGAACUCAUAGAACACAACCAACUCUGUGUUCUUGGUGUUUGUGUGUGAAAAUUCAAAUAUUAAAAAGGAAGAUAAAACUGUUUGAGGUUUUAUUCCUGAAAUUGAAGCUGAUGAAGACAAACACAUGAAAGUCCUAAGGUUUUUCUGGUUCAAUUUGCUCCAGAUUUCGGUAAAGAACCCUAACACCUCGUUCCCUAGUGUCAUUUAACGAGGGAAGUUGAGAGAAAAGGAGGGAAUCUGAGAGAAAGAGGAGUACGAUCGUGUUCCCAAGUUAUUUUAUUGGGAUGAUUUGGGCACAAAAGAAAGGAAAUCAGAGGAUAAUCUUCCCUCCUAAUCUUCCUCCCAAAUUGGAGAGAUUUGGAGAGAAGAGAAUCAAGGAUAAAGAUUAGAACACACGGUUUUUUUAACCUAUCUAUAUAAUCACGUACAUACACACAGAGAAAAAAAAUCAUCCUGCAUCUUCUCUUUGGAAGUCCGCUGCAGCUUCAAUCCUCCAUCAGGUUACACUGUCUUCUCCAAUGAAUUUUUUGGUUGUUAAAUCUUGUUCAUCAGGUUACACUUAUGUUACAACCUUUUUUUUCUGGUUCAUAUAAUAUGUUUACUGUUCAUUAUUGUUCUUAUAUGUUUCAGAUCACAUUACCUGUGAUAAUAUGUUCUUAUAGUUUGUUUCUUCUCAUUUUUUGUUAUUAAAGUUGAAUUGAUUCAUUAGGUUAUUUGUAAUAAUAUGUUUAGAACACCAGUACAUGUUUCCUCUUAUGAUAUUAUGUUUAGAGCAUCAAUACAAGUAUCCUCAAGUUCAAUAUAUGUUUACAAUUUUUUUUUUCUGAAUUUGUUUCUUCUUCAAGAUCCAUUGAUCCGAUCCUCAUACACACUCAUUCUGACGACCAAGGGAUGUAUAACAUGUCAACAACAUUUUGUGAUAGUUCCUUUCAAUAGCAAGUACCUGCAUUAACUAUUACUCAAUGCAAUUCUCAAAGUAUCUCUUGUUGGACUAUUUUGCCCUUGCUUUUAUUUUGGAUGUAUGGCUGUUUUUGCUGCAAAAAAAUAAACACAAAAUUUUCUAUUGAUUUUUAUAGAGUGUUAUGAAUAGGUGGGUCAAUUACACGUUUAAAGAUGAAAAUAAUAAAGCUUUUUGUUGGCCUAAACGAUGACAUAAUUGAAACUAUAAAAAACUUAUCAAAGUUUACAUACAAGUAUUGCAAAAUAUUUGAUUAAAAUAACCAACACUCAUAUAAACCGGAUACAACCCAAGUCAAAAAUUCAUGCCUACCAAAGGAACUAUGAGUAAAUUUUUAUUUACUUUAACUUUUCAAAAAGCUAAGGUGAUUCCUCAAAUUUUUCAAAGGUGGUUCCUAAGUUUUUUUCUACAAUAAUUAUAAAUAAUUUUAAAAAUUAAGGUGGGUUAGAUGACCCAUGUAAGCCCUUCUUAAAUUUUCCAUUGCCACUUAAUAAUCCUUCACAUUUUUUACGUAAAAUAGGUCACAUUGAUUUCAAUGGAUAUUGACCUUCCUUCACCCGCUCAUAUUUUGAAAUCAAGACAAAUGCAAGUUGUUCAUCUAAUUUGCUUGUUGAUUGCUAUUCUGGUACAACACAAACUUACCAUCAAGAAUGGUCCUAAUUUACCUACUAGAGAAACUCUUUUAAAACGUCGACGUGUACGGGAAGAGUUGUUACAUAACCUUUCAAAUGGUGGUCAAUGUCGUCAGCUUAUCCGUAUGAGUGAGCAAGCUUUUAAGAAGCUUUAUGUUAUCUUACGACGUGAUGGUGGUCUUCGACCUACUCAACGAAUGUCUGUUGAAGAGCAUGUUGCAAGAUUUUUGCACAUUAUAGGUAAUGAUUUGAGAGACACAUUUGUCUCUUGGAUGUAUCGGCGCUCGAAAUCCACAACGAGUAGGUGUUUCCAUAGAGUUUUGCGCUCGGUUAUAGCAUUAGAAAGUCUUUAUAUUCAACAACCACAAGGUGAUGUUGUCCCUAAAGAAAUUCAAGAGAAAAAGAGAUUCUUUCCUUACUUCAAGAACUAUGUAGGAGCAAUUAAUGGUACACAUGUUCGUGUCAAAGUACCUAAUAGAGAUGCCCCUAGAUAUCAUGGCCGCAAGGGUUACCCAACGAUAAAUGUGUUAGCUGCUUGUUCAUUUGAUUUAAAGUUUACGUAUGUCUUAACCGGUUGGGAGGAUACUACAUCAGACUUAAGGAUACUAAAGAAUGUGCUUAAUAGAGAUGAUAAACUAGUAAUUCCAAAUGGUAAUUUCUAGUAUCAACUUUUUAUUUUUUAGUUUAAAUUAUUAUUAAAAAACUAAUUACAAUUUAAUUAUAGGUCGCUAUUAUUUAGUAGACGCGGGUUUGCCUCACUCAACUAUAUUAAUGGCGCCAUAUAGAGGUGUUAGGUAUCAUCUAAAAGAAUAUUCCACUCGGGUACCACAAAAUGCUAGAGAGUUGUUUAAUCUUCGUCACGCUUCAUUAUGUAAUGCUAUAGAAAGGGCAUUUGGUGUUCUAAAAAGAAGGUUCCCUAUCAUCAGAAGUACACAAGAACCUUUUUAUUCUUGUGAAACACAAUCAGACAUUUUUUUGGCGUGUUGUAUUUUGCAUAACUUUUUGAUAGUUGAAGAUCGUGACAAAGAUCUUGAAGAUGAGGUAUUACAGGAAGUGUUAAGUGCACAAACAGAGGAAGUCAGACAUAAUUCAAGUGGUGCGCGUGAGGGUAACAACAUGGCAGAGCAAUUUAGGAACUCAAUUGCAAAUCAAAUGUGGACUAAUUACUUAUUGAAUCCAAACAAUGAAAUAAAUAUGUCAACAUAGUUUAAGAGUAAUUCGUUAUAUUACUUCAUUUGCAAUUUGAAUUUUUAUUGAACAUUGUUUUGUGAAUUCAUUUGUGUUAUUUUAAAUUUUUGUUUAUGUUACUUUUGAUAAAUUGUACACUUUAUAACUAUGUUCUUUUUAUAAUAAUGUAUGUUUUUUUAUGUUAUGUAGAACCCGAUAAUGAACAAGCAAGAACCUAUUGUAAAUACUGGUAAGAAAUCACUCUUGAACUGGACAGAACAUAUGGAUGCUGCAUUUGUUGAUGCAAUGGUACAACAACAAGAAAAAGGAAAUAGGCCUUAUGGAAAUUUUACAUCACAAGCGUAUGCGAAUAUGGUUGAGGAGAUCAAUACGAAACUUACAAUGAAUUUUUAAAGUCAUCUAAAAAAUCGUUUGAAAACUUUGAAAUCUACUUUUUCACAAUGGUAUGACAUGUUCACUGGGAUUUCCUUGAGUGGGUUCGGUUGGAAUGCUGAUACCCAACUAAUUGAAGCAGAUGAGGAGGUUUGGGAUAACUUAAUUAAGGUUAGUUUUCAUUUAAGGUUGUAUUUAGUUUAUUUUUAUAUUAUGUUAUUAUGAAUAAUUUUAAUGUAUUUUGGGGUUUUUAAACAGUCAAAGCCUGAUGCAGUUGCACUGAAGACAAAAAAGGUGGCCCACUUUGAACAAAUGUUGGUAUUAUUUGCAAGAGAUAGAGCUUCAGGAGAAAAUGCUGAAACUGCAAAGGAGAGAAAUGUUAGGUUUAACAACACUACGAACAUCAAAAUAGAAAGUAUUUCAAAGGUUGAUUCUUUAUUAGCAAGUAAUGAUGUUAGACUGGAGAACCAACGUGUAGAUGAUGAUGAAGAUGACAUUCAAGUGGUGUCUCCUACACCUGAACAAAAUUCAAGUGCGAAAAAAAUGUAAAACUAAAAAAAGAAAACUCGUAGAUGAAGUAGAACAGGAAGUUGAACCUCAGCCUCAACCUGAACCUGAAACAUUUGAAACAAAGAUUAUGAAUGCUGUUAGUGAUGUGGCUAAUGCAAUGAGGGAAGGUAACAAAAUUUUUGAAAGAGCUUACCAUCAUGAGUUAACAGGUGAUGAAAUUUAUCAAGAAUUGCAGCCGAUGGGAUUGGAAGCCCAUGAAAUACCAGGUGCUCUCAUGUAUUUGGCUCGUAACCAAGCAGAUGCGAGGACGUUGUUUACAUGUCCAAUGAACAUAAGGAAGGAUAUACUAAAAACAAUGAUGGGUGCAGGUAAAUGAUGAAUUGGGAGAAUCGGUGUUUAUUUCUUGGUUCUUUGUUCAACUUUUUUUGGGUUUCACGAAUUGAAUUAUGGUUUUUCGAAUCGUAGUUGAAUUAAGUUGCAUUGUUUUGGAUGAUUUUUAUAGUUUGGUUUCUUUUCAAUUAGACAAAUGCUAUUAAAAGAUAUCCACAACUUUUUUUAUUUUAAUAUUAUUUAUGUGUUGCUAUUCAUUGGUAAUUUAAUUUAAUAUUAUAUGUAGGUUGUAUUUGACAAAAUAUAUAUGUAUGUGUGUAAAUGAAUGUUUAGACAACAAAUAUGACGUUAACAUGCAAAUCAAUUUUUUUUUUCAAUUUCAACUAUGUAUGUAAUAAUCUUGCUAAAAAAUAGGAUAAAAUUGUAAUGUUGUUAUUUAGCUUUCUUUUCUUUUCUUUUCCUUCGAACUCGGGAACACACUUUUUAAAAAACUUCCCUUCCUUUCCUUCGGACUCGGGAACACGAAAAAGUUAAUCAUUUCCUUCCCCUCCCUUUCUUUUCUCUCCAUAUUUUACUUCCCUUUAUUUUCUUUCGUUUAAUGAAACUCAAUUAAACUCGGGAACAAGGCGUAAGGUUUUGAGAGAGAGAGAGAGAGAGAGAGAGAGAGAGAGAGAGAGAGAGAGUUGUGUGUAUAUAUAUGUUCUUGUGUAUGAGAGAAAGAGGGGUUGGCCCUCUUUUAUUUUUUAAUUACUAAAAUAAAUAAAUAAGUAAUAAACUUUUUAAAGAAAAUGAAAGAAAAAUGGAAAAUAAAUACACCAAGGAUGUUAUAGUCAUUUGAAUUUUCGGAGGGACCAAAUACACAACGAAACUAACUCAAAAUAACCAUCAAUUCAAUAAAAAAAUGCAUACCAUAAGGACAAUUUUUGAUGAUUUUAUCGACGGCAUCACGCUAUUGUGAGUUUAAUAGUCUUAUAUUACUAUCUAUCCAAUACACAGGGUAAUAUCUAUAAAACAUGGGGACCAUGUUGGUAAAUUCACUAUUAAACAAGGACUAAUUCUAUAAUUUUGUGAACUGUAUGACCCUUUUUUGUUAUUUCUCUAUUAGGAAGGGACUUUUAUGUACUUUUAUAUGUAAAUUCGUUGUCAUUUAAGGACUAUUUCUUUAAAUUCCUUACUAAACAGGGGUUAUAUUCUAAUUUAUUAAGCAAAGAACCAAUUCUAUAAUUUUUUUUUAAAUCAGAUAGGAAUCAUUUUUUAAUUUGCUGAUAUACAUACAGAGACCGUUUUUGUAAUUUUGUGACAUAAAUGGACGGUUUCUAUAAAUUCACUUUUAAUAAGGAAUCAUUUAUAUAACUUUUUCAAACAUAAGUACUAUUUCCGUAAAUUCUUUAUUAGAUAAGAGCCAUUUCUUAUAAAAUACAUACAAUUAAUUCCGGUAGACUUGACGAACAGUAUCAUGAAUUUGCCACUGUAUUAUGGGUAACUUGUCGCUUCCGGUCCCUCCCUUUCACUAAAUUGACCCGGAAUUGUGCAUCGGCUGUAGGUUUGGAGGUUAGUUUCGGUGUUUGCCGUUUUUUCUUCCAAUCGCGUUGCUUCAGUGAUCUUCCCUGUCCUCCUCACGCACAUACUCAUGGAUGAUGGAACCCUUCCUAUUAAACAUCUUUCUUCAUUACUGAAUACACAUACCAAUGAUGAUCUCGUUGUCUGCCAAGAACAAAUUGGGUUUUGUUGAUGGAACAAUUCCUAAACCUCUGAUUACUUCAUCGUCUUAUUCUAAUUGGGAUCGAGCUAAUUCCAUGGUGAUUAGCUGGAUUUUAAACUCUCUAUCCAAGAAUAUUGCUGAAAGUGUUCUUUUUCUACAAACUGCUUAUGAAAUUUGGUCAGAAUUGAAACAACGAUAUGAGCAGUUAAAUGGAGCCAUGCUGUAUCAAAUUCAGCAACAGUUGUAUUCAAUUUCUCAAGGUACUGAUGAUUUUUCACUGUAUUUUACCAAAUUGACCAAGAUUUGGGACGAAUUACGUGUUGUUCAAGAUCUACCUCCUUGUUCUUGUGCUGCUGCAACUGCAAUUCAUAAAUUUCUUGAAGAACAACGUCUAAUUCAACUUUUGAUGGGACUAAAUGACUCGUAUAAAAUACUCAGAGGUCAAAUUCUUAUGAUGAAACCAUUGCCAACUGUUUCUACUGCUUAUUCUCUCAUUAUUCAAGAAGAACAACAACGUGGAAUUAAUAAUCUAUCGAUUAUUAACAAUGAAGCCAUUGCGAUGCUUGCUUCUUCUGAUAAUUCUUCCAAGAAACAUCUUGUCUGUUCUCACUGUAAGAAAAAUGGACACACAAAAGCUCAAUGUUAUCGAUUAAUCGGAUUUCCAUCCAAUUUCAAGUUUACUAAAACAAGGAAAGAUGAAAAUAAGUCUAUGGCUCAAAACGUUGAAGUAAUCUCUGCAUCAUCUCCUUCAAUUUCUCCUGAACAAUAUCAACAACUCAUGGAUCUGGUCAAUUCUCACAAAAUUGGUCAAGCAUCUACUCAAGCAAAUCUUUCUGUGGUCAAUGGAGCAAUGAAUGAUGAAGGUAAACAAGAUUCAUUCAUUCGUUUUGCAUUGAAUGUUCGCAAAUCUUCUUCAAUUUUACAAGAACAAUUUUCUUGGAUUAUUGAUACUGGUGCUACUGACCAUAUGUGCUCUAACAAAGCUUUAUUUUCUUCUAUUUCUAAACUUCAUCAGCCUCAAUUCAUUGGUCUUCCUGAUGGUUUUAAUACCACUGUUGAAUUCAUUGGAGAAAUUCAGUUACAUGAUUCUAUUGUUCUCAAAGGAGUGUUGUAUGUUCCUUGUUUCAAAUACAACCUCAUUUCUGUGCCAAAACUUACUGCACAAUUACAAACUUUUGUUAUUUUCACUGACAAAGCUUGUAUGCUGCAGGACCCUUUAUCGAAGAAUGAACUCUCUCUUGGCAUUUUUGGCACACAAGUCAAUGAUUUGUAUAUUUUUGAUCACAGACUCAUCAAAUCAAAUUUGUCAUUCUCUUUUUCUGUAUUGUCUUCUUUGGUUACCAAUAAGACUCUUGCAAUGCAUGCUGAUUCAAAUGUAUUGUUGUGGCAUAGACGUUUAGGACAUGCUCCAUUACAUAUUCUUCAAAAUCUUUCUGUUGUUUCUUCUCAUUGUAAACUCACGUGAACUUCUUCUUUAGGAUUUGGUUUUAUGUUUGAAAAAAAACAAAGAUGAUUAUUUACCCAUCUGUUUAAUUAAAUUUUUUAUUUUUAAUUCAGGGAUUUGCAAUAUGGCUCGAUUUACUAAUUUACUUGCAUCACCAUGGCCAUUAAUUAAGACAAACUCCAAUGGCACUGUAGCAAUGCUAUUUCCUGCAUAUUCUCUUUGACUUUGAACUAUGUUUUAAAUUCAAAAUGCAUAGUACCUUUGACAAAAAAAAAAAAGAAAAAAGCUUUAGUUGUAAAUUAUUAUAUAGUCGUAAAUUCAAUUCUGGGUAUAUUUUUCUUUCUUCUUUAUGUCCUAAUGCUUUUGGAUUUAGUAAAGUGUGUGCUAUAUUUUUCGGUUACGACACACUUGUUCCAUUAAUUUAUUUAUAUUAGCAUCAUAUUUUCAUUUUUUUUUCUGAUUACAGCACUGUAUUUUGAAAUAUUUUCUCAUUUGGGUAGAUUUUUCAAAGUACAUUGCCUUAAGAAAUAUAACUGUUACUCUUAUUUGGAAUGCUAUGCUUCUGGAUUGAAUUUCAAAGUAGAUUCACAAUUAUAAAAGUCCCUGUGCAGAAUUUUUUCUACAACAAAUGGUUCACAUGUUAAAAAAAUUAGAUAAACUGUGCAGAACUGUAUAACUUUUACAAACAAGAUUCGAAUUACGAACAAAUUCCAAANUUGCAACCCGAAUUGGAAAUUACAGGUAAUUGCUGGUUGUUAAUACUAAGUAAUGGGAUUUAACAUUUAACUUAGGUAAGGUAUAAUUUAAUGUAACAAUGUGAUUCGAUGAAUUGAACAUUGAUUUACUGAUGCACAGAUAAGGCCUUUGGAAACAUAAAGUGUAUAUUAUUAUAUACUCAUAAAGAAAAGAAAGGUAUAUGGAUGGAUAAUCGUUCUAGCACUAUAUUUCCUAGAAAAUUUGUCCAUCCUAAGUAUAUUUGUCAAAUGUGUAUAAAAAAAAUAAUUGAUUAAAUGUGUACAACUGCAAAACUUCAUUACUCUCACAAGUUUAAUUGUUGACGGUGAAGUGGUUGGAAACCAGGGUAACCUUUAAUUACAGAUCAUAAUGGUACUUUUUUUAAUACUUUAAGUAAGUUUAAUGGUCACAUGUGUACAAAAAUAACUGACUAAAUGUGAACAAAUGUGAUAGAUGGUUACCCUCAUAACACAUUUUCCCUUUUUAUUAUAUACCCUUAAUGGUUAUUAUUAAUUUUUUUGUUAAAAAAAACUUUCUUAAAUAUAAUUAGAAAAUAUAAACUUUUUAUGAUCCCUUAUUUCACACAACACUAGAAAAUGGCCACCCGUGGUGUUGGUGGCAAUUUUAUUGAUAACUGGGACUUAAAAACCCAUGCCAAUUACAAAAAUGAAACAUGGUUUUACAUGAAUAUCUAUGUUCUUCUUUUUUUCAAAUUUGCAAUGAACACCACCACCUUCACAUAAACCCAAUCUUUGAAGCUAUCAAGAAAUAUAAAAAACGCAUAUCUUCCACGACGGUUGAAGAGUAAAGCACCACAUGUUAUACAAAAUCGAAUAGUGAAACCAAUGGCCCCACCAAUAUAGAACCUUUCCAAAUCAAGUCCAAAAUGUUACCAGUCAGCCCCUCCUCUACAAAAUCUUCUCAUCUUAGGUCCGGAACUUACCCUUUAGUCCCUGCUUCCAUAAAUCCUUACAAAUUAAGUCCCAAAAUUACACUUUAACCCCUGUAGAUUCAAAUCUUGACAUUUGACUUCCCGAAACCAACUCCCAACGAAUUAUGAUUUGGACAAUAAUAAUAUAAAAUAAUAAUAAAAAUUACUUCUCAGGGUUUCGGGUUUAUCAUUUAAUUGUUUUAUUUAAAACGGAAUGUUACAGAUAUAAAUGAUAAAUACAAUUAACAAAGUAAAUAACCAAAAUGACCUUUUGGUAAAGCGAAACUCACAGAAUAUAUCCUAUCUAACCAUGGGGUAAACCCAUUGGAACAAUUAAAGAUGAUGUAUGAAAUGAAGUAAGUUAAGCAUUUUAACAAACAAUUUGUGUGCAAAAAAAUUUGUGCUUUAAGGAAAUUUCAUGUAAAAUCACUUCUUUGCCUACUGUGAUAACAAUCACAUGAGGAAGUAAGUAAUAAAAAUCAAAUCCUAAAACUAUAGUUGCUAGUUUAUCCGGGUGGGAAUCAAAAAGCUUACCGGAGUUGAGGAUACGCCAGAUGCACGACGACUUUAAUGGUGGACGAAAAAGGGAGAGCAUCGGGCGCAGAUGGUGAACGAAGGAGUGAGAGAUGCAUAUUAGGAAAUGAUUCGCGUGUUGCCGAAUUUCUUGUGUGUUUAGAAAUGAUAUCCAACCUAAAACAUCAACAAUCCCAAUGUAUUGGAAAAUGCCAUACGAAUGCCACGUAUCCAUGAAGCCGAAGAUGGAAAAUUGACAAAACUAAAAACCAUGUUUUGUUCAUCGGCGGAAGCAAAACCACCUAACUCAUGCCAAACCUUCCAAGCCGUGAGCUCCAAACUUGUAACUAUUCAUAAGUCGUAUCCACAAUUAAUAUGUUAUAUAAUAUCCUACAAAUUGUAAGCACAAGACUAAACUGCAAAUUUGGUCCCUGUGGUUAUCAAAAAAAUAUGGACAUGGUCUAAAAUUUUUUCAACUUGCACCAUUGGUCCAAAAUUGAAUUCUUUUUGUGGUUUUGGUCCCGAGAAAAGUUGAAAUGACCUUUUUGCCCUUUUACUUUUAUUUUUGAAUUUCUUUAUUAUUUUUUUAACAUUUAAAAAAAGAAAAAGAAAAAAUAAAGUGGCCAAUAUUCUACCCACCCGUAACCCUGCUCUCUUUUUUACAUUCUUCAUCUCUUUGACUCCCCNNNNNNNNNNNNNNNNCCAUUCUCAUUCCUACCACCACUAUUGUUGUCUUCAUCCCUUGGCUUUGUCUAUGUUAAACACAUUAACCUGCAAACUUACCUAUGUUCUUUACGUUCUUCACAACCAUUGAUCAAAUAUCAAAACACAAAAAACACUUCGCAUGUAGAUACACCUACCUGCAACUUAGAAAAAACCUACCCUGCCCCCCCCCCCCCCCCCCCUCUCUCUCUCUCUCUCUCUCUCUCUCUCUCUCUCAGAUCUGCAAAAUCCCUUUUACAACACAAUUAAUAUGAUCGAUGACUACACCAAAAUAUCAUGGAACGGUGGGAGGUUAAUCUAAACCAUCCAUGCUAGAAACCAACCUGUAACAUUUUUCGUAGCUAUUCAACCUCUCCGAAAAAAGGUAGAAACUGGUCUCUAAGAUAUGAAGCACAAAAAAAACUAUGAGAUGUAUCAGAACAAUGGGGAAGAAGUAAACAAACUGAUUCCCACCCCGAGUCUAUUCCUGUCUCUGCCUCCUCCAUUCACUCCUCUACUCUCUCAUUGUUGGUUAUCCAAACACCAACAACCAAAUGAACAUAAUUGGUUCCUCACGAAUCCCCAAAUUGAAGAUCUCGCACAUAACCUAAUCAAGUAAAAGUGAGAUUUCUUCAACGGAGAUAAUAGUUGAAGCAAGCCCCACUUCUAAUGAACAUAUUGAAGAAACCCAAAAUAGAAAAAUUAGUUUUUUUUGUCAACAACUUCUCAAGCAUUGGAACUGAUCAAGAUGCAGGUCCUAAAGUAGAAACAAUCUUCGUUUUCGGCCUCUACUUACCUACUAGUUGCAGGCUCUGGUCAAUCGUCAUUUGAUCCAUAUUCUUUUCGAUCGAUUGGCUCUGUUAUAUUCUCCUUGGAAAACACCACCAACUCCUCAUUUGCAUCAUGUACAUCCCUUGGUGACAACGAAAUGGGUCGGUGCUGGAAUCUCAGCUUUCUUGUUGGUUUUGGUUUUAGUGUGUUUUGGUUUUUGAUUAGGUGAAGAAGUGGUGAAGUGAAGGAGUUCGAUGGGUAUCAUGUUCCAAAUUAGGGAUACAAGGCAGAAAAAAUGGGAUAAAUAAGGGAGAGAGAGAGAAAGAGAGAGAGAGAGAGAGAGAGAGAGAGAGAGAGAGAGAGAGAGAGAGAGAGAGAGAGAGAGAGAUAAGGGUACAUAUGGUGUGGGUGGCCCACUUUCUUUUUUCUUUUUCAUUUUUUCAAAUAUUAAAAAAAGUAAAGAAAUUCAAAAAAUAAAAUUAAAAGGGCCAAAAAGUCAAUUCAAUGGACUAAAACCACAAAAAGAAUUUGAUUUUGAACCAAUGGUGCAAGUUGAAAAAAUUUUAGACUCUAUCCACAUUUUUUUGAUAACCACAGGGACCAAAGUUGCAAUUUAGUAUAAGCACAACUGACCACUCUUACAAAUUUAAUAUAAUAUAUAUCAUUUUAUAAUUUUGUAUUAAACUAUUAUGAAAGUGGUUACUUAUUUAAAAGUUUGUAGAAAUCACUCGAUCUAGGCUAAUUGGUGGACUGGGGUCAAUGGUUAAUCGGUUAGAUGGGGAUUAAUUGGAGACCAUUAAGUAUUAAAAAAAUUAUUAAAAAUUAAUAAAUAUUACAUUAAUGCUAAGAAUAUAAGUAAACAAGUUAACAAAUAAUAAACAUGUACUACAUAAUUUAGUUUUAUUUUCAAUUUGACAUGCUAGCUAGAAGCUUGAUUAUCACGAAUGUCAUAAACACCAUAAGAACCACAUAAUACAUAUCGAUCACAAUUAUCCAUUUGUGCACUUAAAAUCAGGUGUUUCUACUUCCACCGAUAUCAAAGCACUGUGUGCUUUCCCAACCCAAUUGAAUGAACACAACAUAGUUCUUGAUAGCGAACUAAAAGCAUAGACCAUGCAGAUAAUUGAAAACUAUGAUGAAGCAGACAUUAAAAAUCGAUAAUAGAUAGAAAUGUAAUUAACCAAGAUCAAGCAAACAUUAAAAAUAUGAGAUCAAGCAGACAUUACAUACCUUGAGUAAGCCUUGAGUAAUUGACCAUUCCCAAACGGUGUCUGAAGUUGUAAAAUUCCUUUAAACCAUCAACAAUGUUGGUUGGUUGCAACGUUCUAUUCUACAAUUGUUGAGCACCCUUGUGAUAUUACCUUUUUAACCUUUUUCUAAAUUUCUAACUUCCUAAAAAGCAUCAUCAAACAUGUCUCCCUUUCUUCAACUUCAACGUCAUUAGAAGAGCUAACACUAAUAUAAAGAUUACUAGGCUUAAUGACUUGUACCCCGUCCUCUGAAUCAACAAGCUUCCCAUCUUCUUCAUCCACAACUUCGCCUACAUCAUUUUCUAGCCCAAUUUCUCUAUUUCAUUCCUUUUAUUCUUGAACUCCAUUGCAGGUUUGCAUCGCUAGUCAGUGUCAUCUGAAUGAAAAGAAAGAAUUAUCUUCAAAAGGUCGGUCCGCCUUACAAGUGUUUGAUGAAACGUCUGAAAAAAGUGAAUACUGAUUGCUAAGAAUAAAUUUGUUUCAUGUGUUUGAUCUUGAUUUCUAAUUCUUCAUUUUUCUUCCGACCUUACUAUAUGAUCUUGUUUUGCCACCAACACUUGAUCACAAAAUGUUAUGUCCAACUGCAUAUCAGUCUUCUGUUGUGCUCCUAUUAAUGAUACCAUUUGAGAACAUCUUUUUCAAAAUACUUCAUCGCAACCUCCAAACUUUCAUCACUGGAAAAUCGAUUUAGGGAAAAAAUUUGGUUUUGGUUCUUGAAUUGCCCUCUGUUUCUUGAUCUUUAUCCAUCUUCAAAUGUUAAUCUAUUUAUUUUAUUUGAUUCUUCUUGAAAUAGCACAACUGACAUAUUUUCCUCUUCCAGGUACCCCAUAUUUUGUUCUUGCUGAUAAUUUUUUAAGAGAUGAAGGUUUUGUUUCACUCUUUUAGGAUUUGUUCCUUUUUUCAUCUUCUUCCUAAACAUCAGCUGACUAAAGAAACUUGGAUGCGCUGCUCUUAGUUAUAUCAAAAUAUAUAUUAUUUUUUGUUUAAGAGGCUUAUUAGAUAAAGCUGACUAAAAAAAUUACUUAACAAGUGACAUUAAUAGCAAAAGAUGAAGAUGAAAGUACAUACAUGGGGGUAGUGUUCUGUGGCCUGUGUGUAUGUGUGUGUUUUAAUUAGGGAAAAAAAAAAUUUGUUUUUAAUAAGAAAACAUGCUUCAAAAAGAAAACAUGAAACCAGGAUGCUAAAAUAAAGUCAAUGGAAGUACAUGCUAUUUCCAGCAUAUUCUCUUUGACUUUGAACUAUGUUUUAAAUUCAAAAUGCAUGGUACCUUUGAACAAAAAAAAAAGGUUUAAUUGUAAAGGAUAAAAUAAAAAGGUUGGAUUUUGACAUAGACAUUUAUGUUGUGAUCGUUUGAGGGGUGACAAUUAACUUUUGUCCAACCAGAGUUUAACCAACUCAUCUUCAAAGGGCAAUAUAACAUACUCACUGCAAAUUCAUUUCUGGACUUCAGACAUACACUUAAGUAGGUUUAUUCUCACUACUGGAAAACAGGUAAUACAAUACACCCUCAUCUAAUACGGUUGUAAUGAAAACCGUAUUAUAAAAUGGCUAAAUUAAUUUAAUACACACAAAUGAAGAAAUCUAAUAGGCUUAAUUAGGUCAGGUGUAAUAGAUAAUAUUUCCAAUUAAAAUUUGUAUUUUUACAAUUAUUAACAAACUUUAGCCUUUGCAUCGACCAGAAUGUUUAACAAAACAUUGGAUGUUCAUUUGACGCAACGUCAAAAUCGAAUUGACCGUUCAUUUGUAUUUUUCCCAUUUUGCCCCUGUAGAUUGCCUUCACUCUUUUCUGGUCAAGCGGCUUACUUAUCAAAGAAUCGAUGAACGACAACAUCAACUGCAAAAUUGAUCACUCUUUCUCUCUCUCUCUCUCUCUCUCUCUCUCUCUCUCUCUCUCUCUCUCUCUCUCUCACACACACACAUACUCUCGAUCGAUCAAUCGAUCGACAUACUCCGACGCCUCUCUUCACUGGCGAGCACCUCUUCAAAACUCAUCGUCAAUCAAGCUAAUUCAGUGUCUCUUCAUCGCCGAUUCAAAAUUGAUUUCAGAUUUAAAUUCGUCGGGUCUUCAGUAUUGAACAACCAGGUGUUCUUUCUAAUAAGUUGUUUAAUUAAUGUCACAAUACAUUAGCAAUUGAUAGAGUUAAUUCCAUGUUCAAACUGUUCAUUCUAUUGCAUAUUUGGUCAUUUGAUUUCCGUUUAUUGGAGUACAUUGACAACUGUAUAUGCAUGAAACUUACGUUUCUUCAUCUGGUUCGUUCUUUGCAGCUCAAGUUCCUCACCCUCAUCUCCAGCCUUCAUCAGAGAACCUUCCGUAACUAUUUCCCAUGGCGUCUGCUUCUCUCUGCACAUUUCAAUAACGAUUCCGAUCUCCUCAGCUUCAAAUCCCCUCUCCUUUAGCAACAUUUCUUCAAUUGGAUUUUCUGAGAGAAAGAAGGUGUUCAUUCUUAACUUUGUUCCUAAUUUUUUGAUUUUCUUAGCAUCAUUUUACAUAACCAGUUGAAAAUUUUGGGUUUUAGCUACAUGUUUUCACUAUGGUUUGAAUAUAACCUGUCUUUUUAUAAAAUGAAAUAAUUAACUGAAACAAACAAACUGAUGCCAAACCGAGAUUAGUAUGAAUCUACAUAUCUGCUAGAUAAUAAUAAUUGAUUAUAUUGAUUACAAACGAGAGUGUUCUCAUUCUAAUGAUUUUCAAUGGAUAAUGAGAUUGGUGUUACAUCUGCCACUAACUUUGAUAUCCUUAUCCGGUUUGAUUAAUGUUAAAAAUGUUAAAAUGGAGAUUGUUGUUGGUAAUGUGGUAUAGACCCCUUGUAAUUAACUUUGUUUAUCUUAGUGCAUAACUAAAAUUUGACUGUAGAUUUCAACAUUCUAGAACUGAAUGAUAGCUAUGGUUUCUUGAAUAGUGCAGGAGCAUCCAAAAUAAUCGGAGUUUUGUUCAUAGAAUCAUGUGUUCAUCAAAAGAGCCACCAGCAGAAACAGGGCUCACAUCAAAAGCAUUUGAAUCACUAAAGAUUGGGUCAACAACCAUCAUAGUGGAAGCUCCUAAAAUGUUGAAGACAACAACUUCUUUGCCUUGUCUCAGAGUUAAUUCUGUUUUAGUUAAAGCCGAUGAUGUUGGCAGGUAAAUUUUUUACCGAACAUCUAUAACAAGAGAGCUUUUUGGUGGAAUUUUUUCAUUAUAAAACUUUAAAUGAAAAAGCUCCUUUUAUCUCCAUAAUAGAAACGUUAUUUUAGUUUGUUAUUUGUGGGGACCUUGUAUAUGUUGUCUAUAUACAAUUGGUUGAAAACCCAUGGAUCCACCAAAUCAUUGAAAGCUUGUUAAUUAACAAGCUCUUUGAAAAAGAUCAUCCAAUAACUUCUUCAAUUUUCUUGAGUUUUUUUUUUUUUACAUGAAAAAGCUCCUAUUGUGAUGUUCUUAUUAACUAGUUAUUUGGUUUCAUUUCAUACCUUUUUUUAGUAAAUAUCAUAUAUGCUUAAUAAAUUUGGAACCAGUUAAAAGGGUGAAGGAUAUCUUUAAUUAAUAUACACUAACAGAGACAAUGGUGCCUUUAAAGAGAAACUUAUUAAUUUCAUGAACAAAAGUUGAUCUAUAUUAUAGCAAAUUUUUUUGAAGGUUGUGUUCAAAGUAAACAACUGAUUUUGAUAUUUCCAUUUCUAAACUAUACUUAAGAGUAUUACUUUGAUGGAAGAUCAUAGACACAUCCUCAAGAUUAUAGUUUUUGAUUAAAGUAAAAAACUAAGAAUACACAUUUGAUAUAUAAGAAAUAAGGAAUAUUAUCACCAUAACUAUAGCAUGCCACCGAUGUUAUCUUGUUUAAUGCACCUUGUGUGCAAGAUUUUAUUAAGGCAUUGUAUUUUUUUUUUUUUUUUCGAAUUUACCAUUUAUAGCAUCUUACUUUCAAUUUUUCUUUUUGUUUUUUAGAUAUUAUUCUUUGAAAAUUUUAUCAACUACUUUGUAAUUUGUAGAGAUUGAUCCUUCGCUCACAACUCACAUGGGAGGGACAAUGAGUUUUUAACAUCAUUAUAAAUGGUGAUAACAUGUUUCAAGAGAUUAAUAUUGUCAAAAUGAAUGGAGAUAUUAAUAGUGCUCUUGUGCUAACAGUCCAUGUUAGCAGGAGGAGUUUGACAAUAAUUUUGCAGCUUGUAAAAGGUAGUCAUACCAGUCAUAUCAUAAUCAGUGCCAUAGAGACCAUAGAGAUCUUUGAAAUUGUUAGAGCCGAGGCCAAUACUUCAAUUGAUUAAGGUACUUUUAAAACAUUUCUUGGAAUUUGAAGCUUUGAAAAGGAUUCUUAUGAAGUAAAAAUUAUUUUUUUAUGUUGUAGUAAAAGCUUUGCAGAAAUUGAAGAGUUCUUUUCAGUUGGAAUGGCGAUCCAUGUGUUCCACAGCAGCAUCCAUGGAGUGGGAUUGGGUGAUGAAUAAGGCUAGAAUGCACAGCCGGAAUGGGCUAGAAUGUAAUCAGGAAUGCAUUGCAGGAAUGGGGGAUGUGACAUCAAGUACAAUUGUUUAUGGUGUAUUAGAUUCUUUUAUGUGAUGGUUUUAAUACUAUAGAUAGGAUACAUAUAGAGUACAGUUAAAUUACAGGUAAUUGCUGGUUGUUAAUACUAAGUAAUGGGAUUUAACAUUUAACUUAGGUAAGGUAUAAUUUAAUGUAACAAUGUGAUUUGAUGACUUGAACAUUGAUUUACUAAUGAACAUAUAAGCCUUUUGGAAACAUAAAGGGUAUAUUAUUAUAUACUCAUAAAGAAAAGAAAGGUAUAUGGAUGGAUAAUCCUUCUAGCACUAUAUUUCCUAGAAAAUUUGUCCAUCCUAAGUAUAUUUGUCAAAUGUGUAUAAAAAAAUAAUAAUUGAUUAAAUGUGUACAACUGCAAAACUUCAUUACUCUCACCAGUUUAAUUGUCGACGGUGAAGUCGUCAGAAACCAAGGUAACCUUUAAUUACAGAUCAUAAUGGUACUUUUUUUAAUACUUUAAGUAAGUUUAAUGGUCACACGUGUACAAAAAAAACUGACCAAAUGUGAACAAAUGUGAUAGAUGGUUACCCUCAUAAGACAUUUUCCCUUUUUAUUAUAUACUCUUAAUGGUUAUUAUUAUUAUUUUUGUUAAAAAAAAAAACUUUCUUAAAUAUAAUUAGAAAAUAUGAACUUUUUAUGAUGCCUUAUUUCACACAACACUGGAAAAUGGCCACCCAUGGUGUCGGUGGCAAUUUUAUUGAUAACUGAGACUUAAAAACCCGUGCCAAAUACAAAAAUUAAACAUGGUUUUACAUGACUAUCUAUGUUCGUCUUUUUUGCAAAUUUGCAAUGAACACCACCACCUUCACAUAAACCCAAUCUUCAAAGCUAUCAAGAAACAUAAAAAAAGCAAAUCUUCCACGACGGUUGACAAGCAAAGCACCACAUGCUAUGCAAAAUCCAACUGUGAAACCAAUGGCCCCACCAACAUAGAACCAACCUUGAAGUUCGUCUAUACCUUCACCCUCACUUUCACCAAUGCUAUGUUGUAUUCCCGAUUCUUCGUCUCCAUGACAUUUUUUGGUAAGGGGAGGUCCACAAAGCCCUAAGUUCCCUUCGUAUCUUGAAGGGUCAAAGGUCUGAAGUUGUGUGCUGGAUGGGAUUCUCCCUGACAAGCUAUUAUCUGAGACGUCUAGGUAAUUUAGCCAAGUCAUUUGAGACAUGCUUGAUGGUAUUUCUCCUGAAAACUUGUUUCUAGAUAAAUCCAAAGUUAAAAGGUUUUUCAUCUGACCGAUUUUCCAUGGAAUCUUUCCAAGUAGAGCGUUUUUAGAUAAGUUGAGUGCAAUCAGUUGAUCAAGAUUGGUAAUCUGAUAUGGGAUUUCCCCUGUUAAGCUGUUGCUUGACAGGUCGAUGCUCCUCAACAAUACCAUAUUACUUCUGAUGAAUUCCCGUUCGGUUCCUUGCCACUGGAUCAUCACAUGGUCAAUAUUAUAUGAAUAUGUUCCUAAUGAAACUCCACGAUCUAAAUUCUGUAGUUGAGAGAAUCCUUGUUGCACCAUGAUCGUAAGAUUACUCAAACAUGAGGGGAUGCUUCCAUGUAAAUGGUUCACGGACAAGUCUAGAAUUUGAAGACUUGCUAAUUGACAUAAUUGUAAAGGGAUGCUUCCAGAGAAGUUGUUUGAUCUUAACAUAAGAACAUACAACCCAGAUAAGCUUUCCCCAAUCCAAACAGGCAAAUUACCAGAAAACUUGUUGGCCCCCAAAUUCAAUGACUUUAAGCUCGUGCAAUUCUUAACAGACAAAGGAAAUUCUUCGGAGAAAGCAUUCUUGUAUAAAUCCAAUGCCUCUAGCUUAAUCAUAGAUCCCAGAGAGGCAGGAAGCCUUCCAGACAGAUUAUUGUGUUCUAAAUUAAGAACUUUUAGUUCUUUGAAAUGCCACAAACAGUCUGGAAUUUGUCCGCUUAGAAAGUUAUGAGAGAGGUCAAGAAUAACUAAAAAGCCAUGGACAACUUGGCAUAAGAAGGAGAUUCCUCCAGAGAAUUUGUUUCUGGAAAGAUUUAGUAAUGCCACAGUGGAAGAGACAUUAGUUAUUGGACCGUCAAAGCUGUUGGAGCUUAAAUCUAUCCUUGAAUUGCUGUCAAAAUUUGAUGAAAGAUCUGGUACUUUCCCGCUUAUGUUGUUUGAAGAAAGAUUCAAGAAUGUUAACUGGGAAGGCCACAAGUCCCAAAACUCAAGAGGAAUUGUAUCUGAAAUACCAUUAUUUGCAAUUUCAAGAUUGGUGAGAUUUUUCAAUUUUUGAAUCCAUUUGGGGAAGUGAGGCCCUAGCUUGCAAGAGCUCAGAUAAAUAGAUUCUAUAUGAGAACGGUUUGACAUGUAAUCUGAGGAAGGAAAUUCUUGGAGUGAGUUUUCGGAAAGAUCAAGAUAUUUAAGGUUGGGCAGUUCCCACAGUUUCUUACUUAUAGUUCCUUUUAACUGAUUCUCAGAGAGGUACAGAUCUGUUAGGGAUGUGAACUUUUGGAUGUCAUCAGGCAAUGACCCUGUAAAUUGGCUUCCUGAAGCAGACAACCGUUGUAAUGAAAGCGAUGUGCAUCCAGACAAGUUUUUGACAAAAUCAGGAAAUUUGAUAACACCAGAGUUGUUAUAGAAGUAAAAACGUUCCAAACUAGAGAGGUUACCAAGAUAUUUGGGUAUCCCAUCUAACAUGUUGCCAGAGAGAUCAAGAAUGUAAAGCUUAUUGUUGGUUAAUGGGAACAACCAAUGAUACAUGGAUGAGGUGAGAUUAUUGUUUUUGAGAGAAAGGAUAUGAAUAGAUGAAGAAGAGUUGAGAAAUGAAGAAGAAUAUGGAUAAAUGACCUGUGACAGCUCACAUCCUGAUAAACUUAAAAGCGAGAGGUUCGGGAGACUCAGAGUAACAUCUACCCAAUGAUUUGUUUUGGCCAGUGAAAUCCCAUCCAUUGCAAGUCCCACCAGAUGAGACAGAGGAGACAACCACUCAAGGUUCUCAAGUCUACACAUUCCAACAUAUGAAAGGUAAAGGUAUUGCAAGUUGGUGAGGUUUCCCAACUCUGGAGGAAUGGCUCCAUUAAGAUUAUUGUAGCCAAGGAAAAGGUGACUUAAUUGAGUCAACGAACCAAUGAUCGCAGGAAUGGUUCCAUGAAAAGAAUUGAAGUCAAGAUCCAGAUAAUUCAAGUAGGUUAAAUUAACCAAUGAAUGGCUAAUCUCACCUACAAGACCACAGUUCAUCAGAUCAAGCUUUGUGACAUGACCACCUGUUUGGUUGUUGCAUGUCACUCCACUCCAUUGACAGCAGUUGUCUUGUUCAGCUGUCCACGUAGAGAUGCGAUCAGAAGGGUCUUGAAGGAGAGAUUUGAAAUGAAGGAGAGCGUCUUUCUCCUUCUCAAAACACUUAUCAUCUCCUCCUCCCACUGCUGCCAAUUGGUUGGCAGUUGUAAUCUCAAGACAAAACAAGAGAAGUGAGAAUAUUAUAAAAACACAAGGAUGCAUGAUGUAAAUGCAAAUCUUAUUUGGUGAUUUUUUUUGUUUGUAUUGAUGAAAAUUUGAAGAUGCCCCAUGCAGCCUUAUAUAGUGCUGCCAACUGUGAAAAUGAAGGAUUCAAUAAUUCUCAUGAGAACAGUAGGAACAUAAUGCUUUUUUCCUUUUUUUUUCAUCAGUAUGAAAACAUUUUUUUAGGCUAAAAAAUAAUAAACUCUGGAAUUUUUUUAAUAAAAUAAAACACUAAAAAAUGAAAAAUCAACACCAUAUUCUUCAAUGAAAUAAAGUGCUAUAAAACACUUCCUAUAGCAACAUCCAUAUAGAUGUCUAUUUUCACAUCAUAAAAAGAUAUUUUGGUAGAUUUGUUUUUAUUUUUUGAAAAAAAAAAUAAUGCCCUAAUAAAUAAAAAGAAAAUAAAAACAUCAGAAUAGAGACUUUGCAUAUCAACAUGGAUGUUUAUUUGUACAACAUAAAAAUAUAUAAAUUUGGGUCUUUUGUUUUAUUUUUCCCGAAAAGUAAUAUAACCUUAAAAAAUAAAAGAUAACAGGGAUUAGGCAUAUUCAUCAACAAAUGGUUUAUUAUAUCUCAUUUUUACAACUAUAUUCUUUACAAAAAAAAAAAAAAUACUGAAAUUAUUAUUUUUAUGCUCUAAAAAAAGAUAUCAAUAUAAAAGGUUCCUACCAUUUUUAACAAGAAUUAUCUUUCUUGCGUUUACACUUUACACACACCUAGUGAGUUGUGAUUCGUGUGGAGCAUAAAAUCCUUAUUUUCCUUUGAAAUAGAACCAAACUAUGAAAGAAAUUAGAAAAGAAGAAUUGAAAUAAACUGCCACAAAUCAAACGUUCAAAGAUUUAUAGACUCUGUAAGGCAUAAAAGCCUUAUUUUCCUUGAAAUAGAACCAUUCAAACUAUAAAACAACUUUAAAAAAAAAAAAAAAAAAAAGGACAAUUGUAAUGGAUAGCUAGCCCCAUAUAAGACUUUCAAGGACUUUCAAGUCUUGGAAAUUUGUAUUUUUCCUAUACAUAUCUUUUUUCAUCUUAUCAUAUCUUUCGAUCCUCACUUUAUGUCAUUGUAAAUCCACAAAAGCAAACUAAUCAUUCAGGAAAAAAGGACAAAUGGUGGGUUAGUGCCUGGAAACAACCAUAUAUAGCUAGCUGUCCAGAUCAAGUGCUUAAUUAUUAAGCCUAUUAAGUCAUAAAGAAUCAGUCCCUAAUGGCAUAAGAGCUGAGUGAUAAAUGAUGAGUCUCCAGAGAAUGUAUUGGAUAAAAUAAGGCUAANUGAGUCUCCAAGAAUGUAUUGGAUAAAAUAAGGCUAAUUAUUUAUGUAUUUUGGAUUGAAUGAACCAUUCGAAUAAGAGAAAACAACCAUUUUACCCUUCCAUCUAAAAGUAAUGUAGAAUACCAAGUUGUUGUUUGUGAGAACUAUUAAAAUUUUAAACUAAAAAUCACUUUUAUAUAUAUACGACCAUGAGACUUACAUAUGUUUGUCAAAAACUACCAUAACUGUCUUUUGUCAAAGCAAACUUGCAGUGUAAUCUUACCAUUAUUUUCUACAGAUAGAGCAAAAUCCUUUUGGCUUUUGCAAUGCAUUGUUUCCCCAGACAACAAAUCAGAAUGCAAACGACUUGUUAUAUUCAGAAACAUUGAAUUAAACCCCAAUUUAACAAGGAUUCAUGCCUCUCAUACUCCCCUUGGGUUAUUAAACAACUUCUAUUUAUGUCUAAUUGAGACAAUUCUUCCAAUCCUAUGCAGAUUUAAUCUCCUACACAGAUUUUUAUGAAACCAAUUAGAAAAGUUCCAACUUCCAACAUAAACAUUAACCGAAACAACUCUAAUUUAUGGAAUCUAUUAAAAAUUUGUCAAUUGAAACAAAAAGGCACCGUUUAACGUCAAAACUGAAAAUUAAUAAUAAUAAUAAUAUUAAAUGUGAGCAAGAGAAACAUUAUUCAACAGAAAAUGGAGAACAGAGAGUCGAGAAGAAAAAUCGAGAUUAAGAGAACAAAAAGAGAAUAGAUAUAUCGAGUAUUGAAUAGUUGAGAUGAUCCAACAACUUACCUGAUGGAAGACCGAGGGAGGAACGACGAAGACAUCUUGGAACAGUGAUGGAAGAUGGAGAAGAGAAGACGAAGCGAAGGCUGUAAAAACUGAAAAGAAAAGUAGGGUUAAAGGAGGACGAGGGUAAACGAGUAAAAAUCAAAUUCAUAAGCUAAAAGGGGAUAACAAAACCAAACCCACAAACAAAAAAAUCAAUAAUCGAUAAAAACCAAUAAAAUUAAAAAACCAAAAAAUUGAACCAAAAAUAGUUUGAGUUUUUUUUUUUAAAAAAAAUAUAUAUAUAUUUGGUUUGGUUUCAGUUUUAAAAAAAUAUAAAACCGAACCUCAAAUUUUAUGAAAUAUAUUUAUUCACUGAAUUAUAUGGUAUUUAUUUAUUGUGUGAGAGAUAAUAAAAAUCGAAGUUCUGUUUGGUGAUUAAGCAGGGCCGGCCUUGCCUUGUGUCAAAUUAAGCAAGGGCUUAGGGCCUUGCUUGUUUACUUUUUAUUGUAUUUACCUCUUAAUUUUACAUCUAAAUAUGGAACCGAAUAAGCGUGAGGACGAAUAAGUGUGAGGAGGAAGUCUAAAAGAAAAAUGCACAUGCUUGCCCUUCCCCCGUAUGUCUCCCACCAACAAAAAAAAUUUAUUGGGUUGUUCGUUUUUAAAAAGCUAAUAAGUUGAAAAAGUGUUUGACAAACUCAAAAGUAUUUUUCAUAAUAGUUUUUCCAUUAGUUUCAAAAAACACUUUUUAAAAAGCAUGUAAAACUUGGUUUUUAAAAACUGCUUUUGACUUUUUAACCAAAAUAACUUCAAAAAGCACUUUUUAAACCAAACACAUUUUAAUUUAUUGACUUAUUGGCUUUCUCAUCAUAAAAGUUAAUCCAAACACUUUUAAAAAACUUAUUUUACCACCACUAUAAGCCAAUAAACAUUUUUAUAUAUCGCGUCGUUCCGUAGUUUAAUAAAAGAAAAGAAGAGAAGAUAAAAGAAAGUCAUAAGAGAAAAUAAAAAAAGAGGAGAAAGGAAAGGAAAACAAAAUUUUGUUUUGAGUUCCCGAGUUGGAGAGAAAUGGAAGGAAAAUGAAUCAUUUUGUUCUUUCUUUCCAAAUCCUCCCAAAUCGGAAGGAAAGUUAGGAGGGAAAAUGAUCCUCUCAUUUCCCUCCACUUCCUUCCUUUAAUGAAACUUAGAAACACCAAUUUGUUUUAUUUUCUUCUCAUUUCCACCCAUUUCAUUUCCUUUCUCUCGUUAAGUUGAACUCGGGAACGGGGUGUAAAAGUACUUCUAGAGUUCAAAAAGCACUCACAAACACCCAUUUAAUAAAGUAUUGUGUUUCAUAUACAAGGCAAUCCUUCUCCUUCAUUGUUUUCUGAUAAACUCCUUUUGCAAAUUUUGUGUUGUUUGUGGUUUGUUUCCAACGGGCCUCAAACUACAAGCCUAUUUGUUGGUCAUUUAUUUUAGCAAAUAAGAUAAAAAUAUUAUCCAGCCAAGUGAAAGUACAAUACAUAAAAUAUUAGUUUAAAUCUCUCUCUCUCUCUCUCUCUCUCUCUCUCUCUCUCGCACACACACAGGAAUAAAAUUCUUGUUUUUUUUCAUCAACAUAGAAACAUUUUUUAAGGAUAAAAAUUAAUAAAUUCAGGAAAUUUAUUUGAUAAAUAAAACACUAAAAAAGGAAAAAUCAACAUCAUUCAUCAUGGAAUAUAAUGUAAAAAAAUGAAGUUUAAUACCAAUAUGGAUGUUAAAGUAUAAGACAUAAAAAAUAUAAAUUUUGGUAUAUUUGUUAAAUAUAAAUAAUUAACAUUCAUCCGUUAGCACUACAAAUUCAUCAAUGAAAUAAAGCUCUAUANAGCGGCUUUUGAAAGCUACGAUUGCUGAUCAGGUUCUGAAGUCAUACGGAAAAUAGUUAUUAGACUUAUCCAAGUGGGAGACUGUUGGAUUAGUGUCUAAGUCCAUAACUAUUUUGGUAUGUACUUGACCCGAUUAUGAGCAUGGUCCUUUUGGGUUGCCUUCACCAUAGCAAUAUGUAGGAUGAAUUAAGGAGAGAGAGGUUUAAAUAUGAUUUAUUAAUAUAUUAUGAGAAUAAUAUAUUAAAGGAGAAAUCAUAUUGUUUAAUUAAUAUUAGUCAAGAAUUAAUUGAUAAUUAAUUUUGUGGCUAAAAGAGAUUAAUUAAAUUUAGGGGACUGGACUGCAAUUAUUGGAUAAUUGAGUUAUUGGGCUAAGGAAUGCUAAAGGAAUAAGGGGUGAACGAAAUUAUGAUGGGAGCCCAUCAUAUUUUCGUCCAUAGCCAUAUCCAAAAGGUUCCAUGGGCUGCUUAGAGUUUAAGCUGCCCAUUAGGGUUUUGACUGAAACCAUAGCAGCCCACACAAGUAUAUAAAGGACCCCUUAGGCCCUAAAAACGUGGACAACUGAUUCUCUAGGGUUUCUAGCCGUUUUUGGGCAGCCUCCUUUCUUCUCCUCUUCAUCCAAGUUGUAUAUGGUGUUUGUGACUCCAUUAGAGGUGCAACACUUGAUGCACUAAGCUUUUGAAGCCAAUUCAAGCAAGGAAUUGAUUGUUAUUGCUAUAUAACAAUCAAAGGUAAUUCUAUAAACCCUAAUUCAAUUUAUUAUAUUUUAUAUCUAAGUUUAUUAGUCUUGGAUUCAUUGCAUGUACAAUAGAGAAACCUAGAUCCAAGCAUUAGGGUUUGUAUGAGCACAUAGGAUUGUUCUUAUGCCUAAAACCCAUCAGAAUAUAGACCAAUGGUUUUAGUUCUUUUAAGUAAUGAUUUACCUAUCUUUAUAUCAGGAGACACAUGUUUAAAUUAAGAAACACAUGUUUAAUUAAUGAAAAUUUCGGAUUUUAAGGGAUACUGAUUCUUUUAAUUUUGAAUUCUGAUUUUUUUAAUUAAUUCAUUUUUAAUUCUAACAUAAUUUUUGAUUUUACUCGAAUUUAUUCUUUUAGAUUGCAAUUCUAUUAGAACAAUAUUCUAUGAAAAUUCCAUAAUAUAUUCUAAUAGAGUACAUAUUUUGAUUGAAGUAACUUCUUGUAGCAAAACAAUAUUCUUGAAGUUUCAGUUGAAAUAUAACGUAAUCUUUAUAUAUUCAAACAUUGAAAUGUAAAUAUAGAUUCAUACAUCUUCUUACAGAAAGAGAGAGAGAGAGAGAGAGAGAGAGAGAGAGAGAGAGAAUGACAGUGAGGUGUGAGGCACAGGAAGAAGAAAGAAAUAUGUGUUUUGUAUGGUCGGUUAGGGUUUUUAAUUCUUAAACUAUAUUGCCUAAACUAAAGGGAUUAAUUAAAUAUUUAUUUAAUUAAUAAAAUUAAUUAAUAGAUAACAUUAAAAAUUUACCUUAUUUAGGUUUUUAAAUGAUUGGCUCNUAUAUAUAUAUAUAUAUAUAUAUAUAUAUAUAUAUGACAAAACUUCAAAAAUGGUCCCUAUGGUUUCACAUAAAUCUAAAGUUUGGUCCCUAAUUUUAAAAAACCUCACGGAUGGUCCAUGUGGUUUAAAAACGUUUAAUAUUUAGUCCUUCCGGCUCACUCUGUUACCAUUUAGCAGUUAAAUUGUUUCUCAACAUUAAAUUGCAGGGGCAAUAUUGUCGUUUCACUUUUAACCUUUACUCUUUAAAAGAAAGAUUGCAUGCUCGAUUUUUGUGCAAACCCUUUAUCUGUGAUCAUCAUCUCUCUUUUCCCUUCCGUUGUUGGUCGACUGUUACACCCUUUACAAUAUCUAAUCGCUUCGCAUUCAAAGAUGGUGACUUGCUGAUGUAGGAAUAAAGCAAUGAAUAUCACUUCAUGGACGGAUCGUAACCUGGAAGGAAAUUUUGGAACUGUACAAGAUGUGGGUUCCUUCGAUGGUCUGACCCUCCUAUGUGUGUUAGGGCAUUAGUGGUGAUUCCGGGUUUGAUAAGAUAAAUGAAUCAAUUGGAAGAGAAGGUUGCUAUUACGAGUGCAGAACUAUGGAACUACCAGCUGAUGUUGUUUUGUUCAUGGGUGUUCUUUUUUUGGUUUUAUUUUAAUCAGUAUGUAUCUCUUUUCGGAUGGAUAUCUAUUUUCGUUUUUAUUCAUUAUUCGGGGGUUGAUGAAAGAAACCAUAUAGUUAUAUGAGUAAAAUAAACGACUUACCAAUUUGCUACGAAAGCAAAUAGGCCUUGUGUUGCGGAUAGAACGUUAUAGGCAAGAGCUCCUGUAGCUUCAUCUUAGUAUAUUUGAGCACACUUCAGGUCACUCCGCUAUUUCCAAAGGAAGAAAGGAAAGACUUUCUAGUUUCUUCUUGCUUGAGCUGAGCACUUAAGCCUUAUGUUAUUUGAUAUUUUUCAAAAAUUUACACUAACACUUCUAACUUUGAGCUUUCAACUAUCAACUUUUUUUUUGAACAUAUGUUUAAACUCUCUUAAUUGAUAGUUCGUAGGAUUGAACCCCACCCCCACAUUUCAAAUUUGGGUGGCUUGCCACUAGAAAAAAAAUUGAUAUUUAAUUUUGUAAUACAUUUUCUUAAUCUUGUGCAACUAUUUUCUUUCCGAAAAAAUGUGUUUGUAUAUAUAUGACUAACUAGUUUCUAACCCGUGGAAACCACGGUUACUAAAUUAAUUAACCUCUCAUAGUAAAAAUUCGUACUUAUUAAUCAAUUAUUUUAAAUAAAUUAUUAAUUAAGAGAUAUAUGAAAAUUUUAAAGUUAUUUAUAACUUCAAAUUUAACAUAUAAUUAAAAAAAAAGUAAAUGUUUCUAUAAAAAGUUUAAAUUUUAUUAUUAAAAAACCUUAUCGUCAUUAAUUAUGAUAGUGGUUUGCUUAAUAUAUUUUUCCUGACAUGUAGCAUAAUAUUAAUGAGAAGUUGUAUUAAAGUGAUAUAUGUCAAAAGAAUAUUAAAGUUAUUCUUUUAUUAGUAUUAGUAUAGGGAUGGAUUUUUUAUUUUUGAGAAAUAUUUGGUCAAAUGAGUGUGAACUUUUUAUUUUAAAAAAUAAAAAUAAAAAUAAAAAUGAGUGUGAACUAAUGAAAUAUUCAUAGUAAACAAUUAUAGGGAUAUUAAGUUUUCGGUUUCCAUUCACACACAUAAUCAAUUGUUGACGUGGCCUUUAACAAUUUUGUUUGAGCAUAUAAUUGGUGGUUGGUGUAUGACACUUUAUAUGUAUGUCCUACAUGUUGUUUUGCAAUAUCAUGUGUUUAUGGUUACACUCAAAGAUGGAUAAUGUUCCUGAUGGAUGUGUUUUAGAGGCUGAAUUUGUUAAUAAUAUAGACAUUAAAGCAACCACUAAGAUUUCUAUAUAAAUUAAAAAUAAAAGCAUCCACGACGUCCCUACUUCACUUAUACCAUUACAUAACAAGAUGUUGAGUGCUCACCAAAUAAUCUUAAAAGAGGACCAAUGAAUUGUCAAAAUUAAAUUUAUUGAAAUAUAUGCCUAUUACCCUAUCUUAAUUUUGAAAGAAUCAGAUUUAUUUGUUUGGAUUUAAUUUGGACAACUUGUUGUAGGACAUUGCCACUUUUCCAUGUGUUACAUAUUUGUUCGUGGGCUUAGUCAGCAAUGCAAUUGGACUCACUAUUCAGGGCUUGUAGGAGAUCUGGUUGGACCUGCAGUGUUGAUACAAGCCAAGAGUAGGACCAAAAGUGAGAGAAGUUGUAGAAGUUAAGGACGGGGGCUUGUGUUUGAUAUUCUUAGUCAACACUCGGAUCUUUUAACCCAGUUUCCGACCCGAUCGUUUAACCUAGUUUCCGACCCGAUGGUGUUAGUAACACCCAUGUAUAUAAGGCUAGAUCAACCACUAAAUUUUGCAUCACUACAAGAAAGUAGAGCAUUACCGGCGACAGACGUCGUCGCUAAAAGCGCGCCUUGUCGCCGCUAAUAGUAUUAGCGGCGACGUGUCGUCGCUAAAACGUCGACGCUGAUGUUUUGUCGCUAUUAAUCAAACUGUCGCCGCUAAUGCGUGUCUGUCGUCGCUAAAACCCGUCGCCGCUAAUAAGCACACGUCGUCGCUAAAACUCGUCGCCGGUAAUAAGCUAUUGUCGCCACUAAAGGUGUCGCCGGUAUUAGUUUUUUUCUUUUAAAAAAAAAAAAAACUAGUAUGAUAUUAAUUAAUCUAAUCCUACAUCAUUCCAUUCCAAAAUAUUAAUACAAUAUCCGUUUAAAAUACUCGUCUGAUUUAACCUAGAACAAAAUAUCGAAAAUACUAGUCUAAAAUACUUGCACAAAUAAAACAUAAAAAAAUCCUACAACUAUCUACUCGUCAUCAUCGCUCUCCUCGUUUCCUCCGGUUUCAUUUCGUUGUGGCAACGAACGAAACCAAUCUUCAAGUGCAGCACUACAUGCCGGAUCUUUUAACAUUGUUUGAAGCAUUUCCAACUACAAAUAAAACAACAUAGUCUUAUAAGUAAACUAGCAUUAUAACAUUCUAUAUACAAAAUAUACAUUCCACAUAUUGGGUAUAAAACAUUAUAACAUUGUACUAUAACUAAUAAUUACCAAAUUUUGAAACUAUUACUAAACCAACAAUUACCAACAUUUUAAACAAUUACCAAAAUUAAAUAAUCUUGUCACCUGUGAUUGUGGUGGUGGCUGUGUCAUUGGUUGUUCCUGAUCGUACAUCGAAACAACCGUAGAAGGUUUACGCCCGAUGCCUCUGAUAUGGCCACGUCGAACACCCAAUAUUUUUUCAAAACAAUUUUGUGUAUCCUUUGGUGUUAGACCGCUGGCUUCAGAGGAAGCUUGAGUUUGUUGACUGAUCUUAAAGAGUAAAGCAUUCUGUAUUUUCAAAAAAGAAAUAAAUAUAAUAAAAAUUAGAUUACUAACUACCCUUUGACGAUAUAAGCACUUAUAUGAAAAUACAAAUUAACCACUUACGUAUUGUUGCUCGACUGCAGGACUAGUAAACACCCCUUGGCGAUCAGUAUUGGCCUUACGAAAUGCUUCGAUUCGAGCGAUGUCCUAUUUCACAUUAAAAAUUAGAUUAAUUAUAAUUUAAAUAAACAGUUAAAUAUAUCAUAGCUUACUUCUUUGAAACAUGCAUUGCUAUACGAGCACGAUCCCCCUCUGUUUACAACUUGUUGUUGUGCACGGACUCCUUUGUUUGACGCCGAACGCUUUAGAAAUUCAGGAGUUUGAAAAUGCUCGACUGCUUGCGCCCAAUUUUCACGUGACAUACCAUCGAGGGGGUUGGCUAAUGCCCUUGGGAUAUCUGUAAGCCCCCCGACAUUCUCAAAAUAAGUAUGUGCUUUAUUUUUUCGUCCUCUAUAAAUUCUUUGCAAGGUCGCGUCAAUGCUCUGCAACAACUGAGCACGCUCGGGAUCCAAGUUAACCUUAUCUAAAUCAAACUUAUUCUACAAAUACAAAAAAGUUAGUUAGUUAAAUACCAAUUAGAACUAAAUUUAAAAUAUUGUCCAAGUUACCUUUAAAUGAACCACUGUGGCAUUCCUUAAAGCGGGGGAAACAUUGUCCCAACCAGAUACGUUCAAAGGGAUGUUCAUCCAUAUAUACUUCCCAAUCUCACGGGUAAACCAAUUACCAUGGUUCCCGAUAGGGGAAUAUGUCAACUCUCUAUCGAAAUCCAAAUCUACAGGUUUUCCCUUGUUUGCCCGUAUUAUCUUUGAUAAUUGAAUGUUUUUUGCUAGGCCUCUUCUUUUCUUAGGGAGCUCAGCUGAAAAAUAUAAUUAAAAAUAUUAGUCAUGAUAACUUAUAAUAAAUGGAUAAAAAUAUCUAACAUAUAUAUCAUAAUAAGACUUACCAUCUUGUUCGUGUUGACAACGACCAAAACCUCCGGGAGGUGGUGGAUCCCCGGCUCCAUCACCUCCAUGUCCUAAGCCCAUAACAUCCGCCAUCACGUAGAAGAGUAUCGCCCAACUAAACCCCAUAUAUAACCUGCAAAAUUACAAUAUGAAUAGAAUUUACACAUAUUACAUAUACAAAAAUAAUACAGUUUCUAUUAUAACAUUGUAGUUUCCAAAUUGCAUACAAAUACAUACACAAUAUAACAUCAUACUUUUUUUUCCUUUAAUAUUGCAUCCUACUUUUUGUUCAAUUUUUUCCAUGAACUAAUUUAUUAUACAAAUAUAACCUUUAUAAAAAAUAUCAUUUAAGUCAGUAACAAAAUGGUAAGAAAUUAAUAAUUUCUAAAAUUUAAUUAAUCUAAGGCUUACUUAAUCUAAAAUAAAUCAAUAUUAUAAAAAAUAUAAAUAACUUUCUGAAAUUUUACAUUAAAACUUUGGAUUCAAUUUACACAUAUUACGACUAGAUUUUUAAUUAUUUUUUAGAGCAAGGGACCAAAAUCGUACAAAUCAGAAGUUGAGGUUUGAUCAUAUAUAUUUUGUAAUGGAGUUUGGUUAAAUCAGGAGGUUUGAUACCUCCUGUAUCCUCAUCAUCGUUCAUCCCAAAUGAGAAGCAAAAAAAAAGAUACAAAUUAAUUGCCUUGUGUUUAUCAUCUACCAACAAAUCAAGAGAUUAAAAGGGCCAACAAAUCAAGAGAUUAAAAGGGGAUGGAUGGAGUGGACUUAGGAAGAAGGAAGCUAUAAACAAUAUAAAAUGCAUACAAUCUAACAAAUUGCACAAACACUUUUAAUCUCAAAAUUACUAACAAUUUAUCAUACAACAUAGCAACAAAACACGAAAAUAAUAGAAAAUUGGAGAAAUUUGACCUUGAAUGUGGGCAAUUUCGGUAUUGAGCUCAAGGAUCGCCGGUUUUCAACGUUUUGAGGGAAGCUAUGGCGGUCUUAUGGUGGCAGAAGGGGCUAGCACCGGUAAUUUACCUUCGUCCUCCACUUAGUCGAAGUGAUCAAACCGAGAAGCAGCAACAGAAACGAGAGAAGGAAAGGAUACAAGCAGAGGAAAAAAUGUCACCGAAAAGGAAACUGGAAAGGGUAAUCUGUAAUGGGUAUUAGCGGCGACAAGCAAUAGCGGCGACAGAAGGGUAAUAGCGGCGACAUCAGGGCAAUAGCGGCGACACCUUUGGAGGGAAAAGUUAGCGCGUUUUCGCUUUCCUCUACAACCGUUGGAUUGAAAUCAAAUCGGACGGAUAGGGAUAAUUUGACACGGAUCGCCGAUUUUGAGCAUUACCGGCGACGCGUAGCAAUAGCGGCGACGUGUAACACGUCAAUUACAUGUCGCCGCUAUUGCUCUCCGUCGCCGCUAAAAGCGUCGCCGGUAAUGCCAACAUUUCUUGUAGUGCAUCUGGUGUGACAGCACCAAAAUGUAUUAAAAGUUAGUUUAAUUAUAAUCUUGCAUGUUGUAUAUUCUGCAAAAAAAAAAAAAAAAGUUCGUUACAACCUUUCAGACCAUAGUUCUUGCAAAGAAAAACAUUUAUUUCUAUUAUUGAUAUUUGAGAAUCUUAUCUUAUUAUGAUUUUACUUAAAAAGACAGAAUUAGGGGCAUUGUUUGAAGAACCACUAGCAAAGGAUCCUAACUUGUAGGAUUCUUCCCUAGAACACAUUGCACAGAUGUUCUCUCUUUAAAAUGUUACUUGUAAAUUGAGAAUAUGAAUAAUCUAAAUCCACUCAGUUGCAUCAUUCGUGUCGUAGGUUGUUGGAAGCAUCGCAAACACCCACAAAUUGAAUUUAAUCGUUAUCAUAAUCUGAUAAAUUAUAACUUCUCUAAACACAUGCAUGCAUUAAUUCGUUGGUAGACAUUAUAUAUGAUAGACCCAUCAAUUUUAUCAUAAGUUUCUUUUAGGUUAGUCCAAACAUCCACCAACACUUUGAGAGAACCUGGCUAACAUAUAAGUUUUAUGACACAACCUAAAAACUUGGACAAAACUAAAGCAACAACCAUAUGCCAAUAUCUAUCCUGUAACUCAUCGUUCUCAGUCCGAAAACAAGAGUCAUUCACAAACCCUAGCUUAUUCUUAGCGUUAAGGACUAGUUUAAUUAGUAGCACAGUGUGUUACAAUGUUACUGAUCAUCUUUUUCAAAAUAGUACAUCGCAACCUACAAACUUUCAUCAUUGGACAAUCGAUUUAGGGAAAAAUAUCCAUCAACUUUUAAAUCCAUCUUCAAAUGUUGAUCUAUUUCUUUUAUUUGAUUCCUGUUGGAAUAGCACAACUGACAUAUAUUCUUCUCUGUAGAGUUUUUUGUUUGUUUGAACAGAUGCUUAGAGCAAAUCUGGACAACACCAUCAUCUUCUUCCUUUUCUCUUUCAUAUUUUGUUUUUGCUGAUAAUUUUUAAAAUAAAAAGGUUUUGUUUCACUCUUUUAGGCUUUCAGGUAACCAUCAGCUGCUAAAGAAACUUGGAUGCACUGCUCUUAGUUAUAUCAAAACAUAUAUAUUAAUUUUUGUUUAAGAGGCUUCUUAGAUGAAGAUGAUGUGUUUGUAUUGUAUUAGUCUAAUAUAGUGGUUUGAUAUGUAAUUAAUAGGUGAAGCUGACUAAAACAAUUACUUAACAAGUGAAACUACUAGCAAAAGGUGAAGAUGAAAGUACAUACAUGGUUACCCUAAUAAGAAAAACAUGAUUCAAGAAGAAAACAUGAAACUAGCAUGCUAAAACAAACAAGUCAUGUGUGUUUUUUCUGUUGCGAUCGUUUCAAGGUUGACAAUCUACUUUUGUCCAACCAGAGUUUUACCAGAGCUUUUGGAUUCAGUAAAGUGUGUAUGUGUGUGCUAUGAACAAAUGUGAUAAAUGGUUACCCUAACAAGUCAUUUCCCCUUUUUAUUAUACCCUUAAUGGUUAUUAUUAUUACUUUUUUAAAACAACUUUCUUAAAUAAAAAUAGAAAAUAUAAACUUUUUAUGAUGCCUUAUUUCACACAGCGGUGAAAAAUGGCCACCAGUGGUCUUGGAGGCAAUUUUAUUGAAAAAUGGGACUUAAAAACCCAUGCCAAAUACAAAAAUGAAACAUUGUUUUACAUGACUAUAUAUGUUCAUCUUUUUUGCAAAUUUGCAAUGAACAUCACCACCUUCACAUAAACCCAAUCUUCAAAGCUAUCAAGAAACAUAAAAAAAGCAAAUCUUCCACGACGGUUGAGAAGCAAAGCACCACAUGCUAUGCAAAAUCCAACAAUGAAACCAAUGGCCCCACCAACAUCGAACCAACCUUGAACAUAGGUAGGGUAUUAUUUUAAUGUAACAAUGUUGAUUUUCUGAGUUGAACAUUGAUUUAAUGAUGAACAAAUAAGGCCCUAGGAAACAUAAGGUGAAAUAUAUUAUUAAUUAUAGUCUUAAAGAAAAGCAAUGUAUAUGGAUGGAUCAUCCUUGGAGCACUAUAUUUCCUAGAAAAUUUGUUGAUUAAUCCAAGUUUAUUGGUUACAUAUGUACAAAACAAGUGACUAAAGAAUGACCCAAUGGGACAGUUGUUUACUGUCGUAUAGUCAUUUUCCCUUUUUAUCAUUACCCUUAUUUAGGCCUGCCAAUCGUGUCGUGUUCGGGUUGGCGUGUCGCGGGUUGGCGGGUCAAAAUAUGCCAACCCAAACACGACCCAUUUAAAUAUACAAGUUACGGGUUGACAUGUCACGGGUUGGCGGGUUUGGAACCUAAACCCAUAUAUGACCCGCCAACCCAUUUAUUAAUAUGGGUUCAUAGGUUGGCGGGUUCGUGGGUCAGAUUUGGGUUCGUGGGUACGAAUUUUAGACAUUUAAGUCUUAAACAUCCAAAUGAAAUUUAAAAACAUUCAUAGAAACAUGUUACAGACUUGACAUUAUAAGUUACGACUUACGACCUUAGACCAUCCACUUGGAGUCAAAAUGUCAAAAUUGUCAAAUGGUCUAUGAAUCAAUGGUAUAUAUUAUAUAAUACUUAUUAAAUAUUAAUACUUGAUACAUAAAUACAUUUAAAAAUAAAAUGAUUUUUUUUUAUUAAGAAUAUAAACGGGUUGACGGGUCAACCCGUUUAUUUUUUGAGAAACUCAUAUAUGACCCAUUUAAUAAGCGGGUUGGCGGGUUAGCGGGUUGACGGGUUGAAAAACUCAACCCAAAUCCAUUUAUUUUGUGUCGUGUCGUGGGUCGUGUCGCAGGUCGUGUCGAGAAUUGCCAGCCCUACCCUUAUUGGUUAUUUAAAACAAAUAAAUAAAAAUAAUAAAUAACUUUCUAAAAUAUAAACUUUUUAGGAUGCCUAAUUUCACACAACGGUGAAAAAUGGCCAUCCGUCGUGUUUGUGGCAAUUUUAUUGAUAAAUGGGACUUAAAAACCCAUGCCAAAUACAAAAAUGAAACAUGGUUUUACAUUUAUCUAUGUUCAUCUUUUUUGCAAAUUUGCAAUGAACACCACCACCUUCACAUAAACCCAAUCUUCAAAGCUAUCAAGAAACAUAAAAAAAAAAAGUAAAUCUUCCACGACGGUUGGUGAGUAAAGCACCGCAUGCUAUGAAAAAUCCAACUGUGAAACCAAUGGCCCCACAAACAUAGAACCAACCUUGAAGUUCGUCUAUACCUUCCCCCUCACUUUCACACCAAUGCUAUGUUGUAUUCUCGAUUCUUCAUCUCCAGGACAUUUUUUGGUAAGGGGAGGUCCACAAAGCCCUAAGUUCCAUUCGUAUCUUGAAGGGUCAAAGGACUGAAGUUGUGCGCUGGAUGGGAUUCUCCCUGACAAGCUAUUAUCUGAGACGUCUAGGUAAUUUAGCCAAGUCAUUUGAGAAAUGGUUGAUUGUAUUUCUCCUGAAAACUUGUUUCUAGAUAAAUCCAAAGUUAAAAGAUUUUUCAUCUGACCGAUUUUCCAUGGAAUCUUUCCACGUAGAGCAUUCUUUGAUAAGUUCAGUGCAAUUAGUUCAUCAAGAUUGGUAAUCUGAUAUGGGAUUUCCCCUGUUAAGUUGUUGCUUAACAGGUUGAUGCUCCUCAAUAAUACCAUAUUACUACGGAUGAAUUCACGUUCAGUUCCUUGCCACUGGAUCAUCACAUGGUCAACAUUAUAUGAAUAUGUUAUUAAUGAAUAAUCUACUUGAGAGAAUCCUUCUGUCACCAUGAUCUUAAAAUUACUCAAACAUGAGGGGAUGGUUCCAUGGAAAUGGUUCACGGACAAGUCUAGAAUUUGAAGACUUGCUAAUUGACAUAAUUGUAAAGGAAUGUUUCCAGAGAAGUUGUUUGAUCUUAACGUAAGAACAUACAACCCAAAUAAGUUUUCCCCAAUCCAAACAGGCAAAUUACCAGAAAACUUGUUAGCCCCCAAAUUCAAUGAUUUUAAGCUCGUGCAAUUCUUAAUAGACAAAGGAAAUUCAUCAGAGAAAUCGUUCUUGUAUAGAUCCAAUGCCUCGAGCUUAAUCAUAGAUCCAAGAGAGCCAGGAAGCCUUCCAGACAGAUUAUUGUGUUAUAAAUUAAGAACUUUUAGUUCUUUGAAAUGCCACAAACCAUCUGGAAUUUGUCCACUUAGAAAGUUAUGAGAGAGGUCAAGAAUAAUGUAACAUCCCGAAAUAUCAAGAGUAGAGUUGAAGGGCUAAAAGAGUAAUUUAGGAAAGAGCGACUCGGCGAGUAGAGUCGUGACUUUGUCACGUGAUUAAGUAGCCGACUCGGCGAGUCAGUGAGAUGGACUCGGCCUCCUUAUCACCCCUUGAGUCCUAGAAAACCUAAUUUCGUGGAGAAACCCCAUNCCUUAUAUAAAGAUCAUUAUGUUUUCCCCCCAGCCUCUUUAUCACCCCUUGAGCCCCAGAAAACCCUAAAUCGCGGAGAAGCACCAUUGUUGAGUGGAUUGGAGCUUGGAGAAGUAAUUGUUGAAGGAAUUUUGGGAGAUUGAAGGCUUGGAGCAAGGGGCUUUGCUUGGAUUCGAAUUACAUUGCAGUUGGGGCAUAUCUUAGAGGUAAUGUCUCGUUAUUGGAUUGUUGUUAUAUUGUUUCUUCAUUUUGGGGUUUGUGGGAACUUGUCUAUGGAUGUAAUUGGAAGUCUAGAGGUUAGAUCUGAGGUUGCUACCUCAGAUCUGGAAUGAAGAAGAAUCAGAGAGCAUGAAAGUCCCUGUAUUGGAGUGUUUAGUGAAGCUAUCAUGUCCCAAACCCUAGCUCUAAAGUGAAUAAGGCCUAGAUCUCUUUGGAUUCACGUAAAGUUUGCCACUUUACGUGAUGGAUGAGUGGUAGGAGGCUAGAUCUAUGUUUUGGAGCAAUUGCAUGGCCUGGAAUGCUUCUGAAUGGAUUCAGACCGGUGGUACUCGGCGAGUCACAUGGGUGUACUCGACGAGUUGGAUGAAGAUGGCCUGGAACUCGGCGAAUUGUAUGAACAACUCGGCGAGUAGGAUGAAGGAAGCCUUAGAAUCGGCAAGUCUGUUCUUGGACUCGGCGAGUCUUGUUGAAGAGUCCCAAAUAUUUUAUGGUUGAGUCGAAAAUCGGCGAGUCAAGGGAUGACUCGGUGAGUUGUGUGCGAGUGGACUCAGAGUUGUGGGACUCGGCGAGUCUCGGGGUAACUCGGUGAGUUGAGUCGCGGAUUGGGGAAGUUCUGAGCAUGGGGAAUCGACGAGUCGACGGGUUGACUCGGCGAGCAGGGUCAACCAGGAGGGUUGACUUUGACGGAGGACUUUGACUUGGACCAAGAGUUGACCGUUGACUUUUAGGGCUUGGUCAGCGAUGUGGCCUUUAGGCCAAAAGAGGGGUAAAAUAGCCUUUUACCCUUAAGAGGGUGCCAUGAGAGGGUUGAUUCUAGUCUCGAGAGUUAUAUUCAUGAGAGUAUUUGCCUUAUGUGUUAGGCGGUGGCGAGUUCGAGAUUCAAGUGUGGAGAUAUCUGCUUUCUGCUUUCCAGGUGAGUCUUCUCACUAUACUUUACCUUGAGUAGGUAACCAGAGUUAUGUGAUUAGAGUAUUUGUAUGCUAUAUGUACGUGAUGUGUUGUACUGCAUUAUUUCUAUGUGAUUUAUGUUGUGCAUGUUUUUAGAGUUGGAACCGGAAGGUUCCCAGAGUUAGAACCUGAGGGUUCACAGAGUUUGGGUGCACGGACCCAUAGAGUUAUAGCCUCGAGUGGCUAAUAUGUGUUAUGUGUGGUAUUUUGGGGAACUCACUAAGCUUCGUGCUUACAGUGUUUUGUGUUGUGUUGUUUUUUUUUCAGGUUUCUUUCAGUAUCACAGGACGGCACCGACUUGAUUGUACACACCAGAGAAAGAGUCAUAUUUUGGAGGAUCCUGGUUUUCUAUGCAUGUGAAAAAGGAGUUUUGUUUUUGUAAUUCGUUUAUAAAUGAGAUUUUAAACAAGUGUUUCUAAGAAUUUACGAUUAUUUUAAAUAAAAAAUUGUUUUGAAAUUCACAGUGUUACAAGUUGGUAUCAGAGCCUUGGUUUGAGGGAUUCGGAUGCGCCUUCGGGUAAAUCUGGUCUCAAACUGAGGAAGUAAGAAAAGUUUUCAAAUAAAUAAUUUUCUAAAAGUGAAUAAGAGUUUAAAAAGAAAGCAAGAAAGAGUAGUGUGUACAAUCAGCCAGAGCCUGACCGGUGAUUUCCCAAAAUACCCUUACUUUUGUGUUAUGAGAUAUUUAUGAUGCACUUUAUGAGAUAUUAUUGCAUGCUAGAGGCAGGCUAGGUAUUUCACAUCUUAGGACUAGAGUGGCCUGAUCUGUGAUGCCUUAGCCUAGGACUUGUUGUUAUAUUUGUGUUAUGCUUUUGAAUAUGUGAUGAGCGAGAGUAUCCAGUUAGAACCCAUGAGGGGUAGAGUUACAGAGUUCAGUGGUACUUCCGAGGAUGAGCCGAGAAAGUGGAGUUAUCACAGAGAGGGAGUCCUAUGUAUUCUUCGAUGCUCGAAUGUUGCUUGCUUUGUGCUUUGUGGAACUCUCGAUGAUGGGAGUCAACUACCAAGUGAAUAUGACGAUAUUCAGGAGGUAGAUGGCUGGCAUCAUAGGGAGCUCUUCAGUAGCUGAUAGCAAAGAAGUGGGAGGACAACGGAAGAGCCUAGGGAGUAACCCUAGCCAGAUGAGUGCGCUGGUAGAGUAGAGAAUUUCGCUGGGGAGCGAGCACGCGCGAUGGGAUUGGUGAAAGAUCAGGUCGAGCAGCUACUUAGGAGCUCUGGGAUGGUCCGUGUGGAAAGUAUGGGUAGAUGUGGCAGGUAGUAUGGGCCCGUACUACUGAAAGCAGAGGACCCAUACUUGAUACAGGGAGUAUUCUGAAGGUUCUAAGGAGCGGAUUGAGGAGUGAUGUUAUGGUUCGAGUACCAUACAUCGGAGCGGAUUGAGGAGUGAUGUUAUGGUUCGAGUACCAUACAUCGGAGCGGAUUGAGGAGUGAUGUUAUGGUUCGAGUACCAUACAUCNNNNNNNNNNNNNNNNNNNNNNNNNNNNNNNNNNGUUAUGGUUCGAGUACUAUACAUCGGAGCGGAUUGAGGAGUGAUGUUAUGGUCCAGGUACCAUACAUCGGAGCAGAUUGGGGAGUGAUGUUAUGGUAGGGUACCAUACACCGGGGCAUAUUGAGAAGAGAUGUCAUGGAAUGAGUACCAUGGUUUGUAGUGAAUGAUGCUUGUGGUUCUCCGGUUAUCCGGUCAUGAGUAAGUUCGAAGAGGCGUCCAUUGAGAGGGAGAUCGAGAGCCCCUCAGAGUAUUUUAGUAAGGAGUCAGUGAGAAGGGAGAAUUUCGAUCUGAGUUGAGUAAUCAGUCGAUAAAGGAGAUGUCACCUCCUAUGAUCUGGGAGGUCCUGAUUAUGUUCGUGUGAAAAAUAUGAGAAGCAUGAUGUUUUGGUUUUGGGUUUAGGGGUAAACCCUGCAGGUCGUCAUUGAUGAUGAUUUCCCACCAGAGUAUCAGGUAGCAUGUGUGCUGUGAGGCAGUGAUUUAUCAUGAGCAGAUAGUCAGUUGGGACUGAGAUAGUCGAGGGCCACGCUACACCUAUUGAGUAUAGUAGGGUGUACGGUAGUGGUUGAUAUGGGCAUAUUUAGUUAUAAACUUCAUGCAUUAUCUUAAUACUUUAUGUUGAUUUUAUCUCAUUUAAUGAACAAAAGGUGCUUAAUUAGUUUAGAAUUUCAUUUUUCAGCAAUAAUGACAUGCUCGGAAGGAAAAGGAAGCGGAACUAGCGAUUGGAGGCUUGGAUAUUGGAUUUUGAAGAAAGAAGGAUGUUGCUGGACAGCUUGACCCCUCGUCAGUGUUUUGGCCAUAUCUCAUGAAUCGUAACUCCGAUUGACGAGAUUCAAAAUGUUCUGAAAGGUAGACACAAUUUCGGACGACCUUCGUAUUUUGAGAAAUGCUGAUUCGAAACAUACUCAGCGAGUAGGGUCGAUUACUCGGCGAGUUGUAUCGAACUUUCGCGAUUUUGGACGCGCUGACUUGCUGUACACGGGUUUUAAGUGACGGACUCGCCGAGUAGGUCACUAGACUCGCCGAGUAGCCUCUGUUUUGUGAAAAUCUAUAUAAAGGGACUUUCAGAUCGAUAUCAUAGCAUGGAGAGAAACCCUAGGAGGCUGAGAAACGAUUGGAAGUGUUGCUAGGUCGUGAGGAACUGAAGAAUCAACCCUACAUUCAAUUGUGAAGAGAAUCAAGACAAUUUUGGUUUAUUCUUAGUAACUUUUUGAUUUGAAUCAUGUUUACAUACUUUGAUUUCGUUUUUGAGUUUAUGUUUACUGCAAUCAUGAGCUAAAAACUUAUUCUUCUGUUAGGGUAGACAAUUUUGUGAACAUGGAUUGAUUAUUUGAGUAGGAUUAAUUUUAAUUGGUAAUUAUGUUUUGUUAAGCUUGUUAAAGAACCUUAUGUGUUGACAAUAACUAUUCUUCUGUUAAUAAAUCAGUAAUUAAGUUGUAUGAACAUCUCUUAGUUAUUAAUUUCAUAUGAUUUAUUGUGACCACAUAGUUGUAUGUCUAGGAAUAACGAACGUGAAACUAGAAUUAACUAGAAGAUAGGUAAGUUAAUGUGUAAGCUUGUUGGAUGAACAUCGACAAGAGGUUAAUUGAAGGGCCAAUUUAGUUAACCACUACAAGUCUUACUUAACCCGAAUCAAUAAUCUAGGAAACCCGUUAAUUUAGACAACUGGCCAUUGCUUGAGUUAAUUUGUUUUCUAAGAAUUAGGAAUAGCGAACGUGAACCUAAUUAUCUUAAUCGGUAGCCAAUGAAGAAUUAAUCUGAUACAUUAAAAUCAUCCAUGGGAACAAAUGAGUCGUACCUAAACAGAAGUCCUCUUUACUAUUGAAUUUAGUUGGUAAUUAAUUGUUUUAGUUGCUAGUUAGUUAAUUUGUGUGUUGGUUAUUCUAAUUAAGUUUCUAGUCUUGUAAAACUAGAGAAAACCCCCUUUUUGUUAUUUGUUUUAUUUAGAUAAUAUUAGCAUUUAUUUUAAUUGUUUACCGUUCCCUGUGUUCGAUACCCUACUUGCUUGAACUAUAUUACUAAUCGAUAGGUACACUGCCUUUCGUGUGUUUAUUUUGUGUCUAAGUUAGUAGGAUUAAAACUAGUUCGUUUUACACACAUCAAAUUUUUGGCGCAGUUGCCGAGGAAUGGUUCUAAAUAGUUAAUUUUAUUUGCUAAUUGUUAUUAUUUUUUUAUUUGUUGAUUAAAUUUUUUUUUAUUUAGUAUGUAUUUUCCAAAUCUCGAUGCUUUUGAUGCUUUUCUUGAGAAAGUAGUACAGGAAAUUGAGCAAGAAGAUGAGGAGUGUGGAUGGGAUGAAGAUUUGAAGAAAUUUGAUAGAUGGUUAGAUAACAUCUUGCCCAACACACAAGAACAAUCUGAGUCACAAGAGCUAGAGUUAAAAGAUGAAGAAUUUAAUCCAGAAAGAGAUUUGGAGGAACUAGAAAGAUUGCUAGCAGAGGGGUCAGAUGAAGAACAAGAAAAACCUAAGUUGCAGGAACCAAGUUGUGGUUUGACCAUUACCACGACAUGCCCCCUGUAUUUUCGGUUUGUGUUUUGAAGCAUGGGGUGACGACUCCAACUUUGGAGAAAGUUCUAAAUCACGAUCCAUUUAUGAUUAGUAUCUAACCGGUUCCAACCCUUGUCAAUAUUCAUGGGUUUUAUGAAUUCAAUCUCAUUUGGCCAAUUUUUGAAGCAAAGAGUCGAAUUUUACAAAUUGGUCCAAAGAAAAUAUUUAAUGCAACGGAUGGAUUGACAUUGAGUUUAUUGGAAGUUUAUUAAGUUGGGAGUCCAGCUAAAGACUCGCACAAAAAGAAGCGCUUGCGGGAGGCAACCCGUCAUUAGAGUUUUCUUUUCUUUUUCUUUCUAAACUUCUAGUGUUUAAGGAUAAUUUAGGAUUUUUUUUAUUUUAAUGUUUUUUUUAUUANNNNNNNNNNNNNNNNNNNNNNNNNNNNNNNNNNNNNNNNNNNNNNNNNNNNNNNNNNNNNNNNNNNNNNNNNNNNNNNNNNNNNNNNNNNNNNNNNNNNNNNNNNNNNNNNNNNNNNNNNNNNNNNNNNNNNNNNNNNNNNNNNNNNNNNNNNNNNNNNNNNNNNNNNNNNNNNNNNNNNNNNNNNNNNNNNNNNNNNNNNNNNNNNNNNNNNNNNNNNNNNNNNNNNNNNNNNNNNNNNNNNNNNNNNNNNNNNNNNNNNNNNNNNNNNNNNNNNNNNNNNNNNNNNNNNNNNNNNNNNNNNNNNNNNNNNNNNNNNNNNNNNNNNNNNNNNNNNNNNNNNNNNNNNNNNNNNNNNNNNNNNNNNNNNNNNNNNNNNNNNNNNNNNNNNNNNNNNNNNNNNNNNNNNNNNNNNNNNNNNNNNNNNNNNNNNNNNNNNNNNNNNNNNNNNNNNNNNNNNNNNNNNNNNNNNNNNNNNNNNNNNNNNNNNNNNNNNNNNNNNNNNNNNNNNNNNNNNNNNNNNNNNNNNNNNNNNNNNNNNNNNNNNNNNNNNNNNNNNNNNNNNNNNNNNNNNNNNNNNNNNNNNNNNNNNNNNNNNNNNNNNNNNNNNNNNNNNNNNNNNNNNNNNNNNNUUUGACACCCAAGACAUGGAUGAGUUGUUCCCAUGUCUAAAGUCAAUUGAAGAUGGAGCUGAAGAGAAGAGAUAUCAACCUCGCCACUACUAUCCCAGGGGAGUUUGUUCCAAUUCUCUCCUUAUUUUUAUUGUUCUUUAUCAUGCAUAAUAUGCAAUGGGGACAUUGCAUAAAUUAAGUGUGGGGUAGGGGGUUGGUUGGUUACACUAGUUAAUUUUGAAAGUUUUGCAUAAAAUUUGCUAGGAUUAAUUUAUAAAAUUUUGGUAAAGCAAUUAGGGAUCAUGCUAGUAUUAUAUUUGAUGAUUGCAUGAAGACCCAAAUGUUUAGUUGAGCCUAUAUACGUUCUAGUGCAUUUGUGGCUUCCUUAUUCUAGUGAAAUCAUGGGACAAAAACACGACCUCGCUUAGUUUGAAGGAUGCAAUAUGUUUAGCAUCGUGUACCAGAAAUGUAUCCAGGAAAAUUAUUAUCUUUAGCCAAUAAAGGUUGAAGUUGAGCGCCCUUGCUUAAGCAUGUAGGUUUUGAGUGAAAAAAAGUGAGGUACAUGUAAAAAAAAAAGAGAAUUACAAGAAAAGUUGUAAGAAUUUUGGAGCAAUUAAAGUGAAGAUCAAAAGAUCGAAAAUUCCGAAGAAAUUCAAAAAGUUGAAGAUACCAAAAAUCAAACAACAAGGUGGUGAAUUCAAAGAAAUUAAAGAUCAAAUGUCAAAGAAGUGAAGAAUUCCAAAGAGCUCCAAUGUGGUAUCAUAAAUUGUAAUUGUCUAGAUUAUGUAUGCUUGGGUUGCUCAACCAAAAAUACCUUGAGGUUAAGAGGUUUUCUGAGGAUGGAUUCGGAGGGAUGCAUAAAAUGAGCAUUGUUCGGAAAAAGUGGGCGAAUGUUUAUGAGGAUUGUGAGUAUUUGGUGUAUGUGGGGUUAUUAGGAAAAUUUUAGACACAAAUGCAUGCGUUGCGGUCUUGGCAUAAUGGUUGGGUUUGAUUGGGAUUGUCUUAUGUAAUAUUAGUAUACUAAAAUUUAGUUUUGCUUGGGGGCAAGCAAAAGUCAAGUGUAGGGUAUUUUGAUAUGGGCAUAUUUAGUUAUAAACUUCAUGCAUUAUCUUAAUACUUUAUGUUGAUUUUAUCUCAUUUAAUGAACAAAAGGUGCUUAAUUAGUUUAGAAUUUCAUUUUUCAGCAAUAAUGACAUGCUCGGAAGGAAAAGGAAGCGGAACUAGCGAUUGGAGGCUUGGAUAUUGGAUUUUGAAGAAAGAAGGAUGUUGCUGGACAGCUUGACCCCUCGUCAGUGUUUUGGCCAUAUCUCAUGAAUCGUAACUCCGAUUGACGAGAUUCAAAAUGUUCUGAAAGGUAGACACAAUUUCGGACGACUUUCGUGUUUUGAGAAAAUGCUGAUUCGAAACGUACUCGGCGAGUAGGGUCGAUUACUCGGCGAGUUGUAUCGAACUUUCGCGAUUUUGGACGCGCUGACUUGCCGUACACGGGUUUUAAGUGACGGACUCGCCGAGUAGGUCACUGGACUCGCCGAGUAGCCUCUGUUUUGUGAAAAUCUAUAUAAAGGGACUUUCAGAUCGAUACCCUAGCAUGGAGAGAAACCCUAGGAGGCUGAGAAACGAUUGGAAGUGCUGCUAGGUCGUGAGGAACUGAAGAAUCAACCCUACAUUCAAUUGUGAAGAGAAUCAAGACAAUUUUGGUUUAUUCUUAGUAACUUUUUGAUUUGAAUCAUGUUUACAUACUUUGAUUUCGUUUUUGAGUUUAUGUUUACUGCAAUCAUGAGCUAAAAACUUAUUCUUCUGUUAGGGUAGACAAUUUUGUGAACAUGGAUUGAUUAUUUGAGUAGGAUUAAUUUUAAUUGGUAAUUAUGUUUUGUUAAGCUUGUUAAAGAACCUUAUGUGUUGACAAUAACUAUUCUUCUGUUAAUAAAUCAGUAAUUAAGUUGUAUGAACAUCUCUUAGUUAUUAAUUUCAUAUGAUUUAUUGUGACCACAUAGUUGUAUGUCUAGGAAUAACGAACGUGAAACUAGAAUUAACUAGAAGAUAGGUAAGUUAAUGUGUAAGCUUGUUGGAUGAACAUCGACAAGAGGUUAAUUGAAGGGCUAAUUUAGUUAACCACUACAAGUCUUACUUAACCCGAAUCAAUAAUCUAGGAAACCCGUUAAUUUAGACAACUGGCCAUUGCUUGAGUUAAUUUGUUUUCUAAGAAUUAGGAAUAGCGAACAUGAACCUAAUUAUCUUAAUCGGUAGCCAAUGAAUAAUUAAUCCGAUACAUUAAAAUCAUCCAUGGGAACAAAUGAGUCGUACCUAAAUAGAAGUCCUCUUUACUAUUGAAUUUAGUUGGUAAUUAAUUGUUUUAGUUGCUAGUUAGUUAAUUUGUGUGUUGGUUAUUCUAAUUGAGUUUCUAGUCUUGUAAAACUAGAGAAAACCCCCUUUUUGUUAUUUGUUUUAUUUAGAUAAUAUUAGCAUUUAUUUUAAUUGUUUACCGUUCCCUGUGUUCGAUACCCUACUUGCUUGAACUAUAUUACUAAUCGAUAGGUACACUGCCUUUCGUGUGUUUAUUUUGUGUCUGAGUUAGUAGGAUUAAAACUAGUUGGUUUUACACACAUCAANUUCGUUUUACACACAUCAGUGGUAUCAGUGGGGAGUUCAGUCGAGUUUAGCGGUGCAGAGAGUUUUCUAUCGAUGGGGUGUCGAAUAUGGGAGUGGGUCCCUGAUCUUGGGAUGAUCCCGGUGUUGGAGCAUUGGUUGAUGAAUUGAGGUGAGGGGUACGAUGACUUUAUGGUUCAGUCUAUGAGCCAGGGAUGUUAUUGAGCAGUUGAGUUGUUUGGUACUAGAUUAGUACGAGAUUUGGAACGGCUAGAGGCAGACGUGACGAGAAGUUCUUGAGGAGUUCACCAGUGGUUCAAAGUAUAUGAGGUCGAUUCAUUUCCUUAAGGGGAUUAUCGGGCGUUGUGUAGCACUUUCCGGAGGCAGGUGCGAUUUUUCUGGAGAAAAUAGUUAUGGGUUGGUUGUGUGCUAUUUGGUGAUGGUUCGAACCCUAAGUGGGGGAGAACCGGGUGUCGUAUGUAAGAAAGCAGAGAAUUAUCAAGAGCAGUUAUAAGUGGAGUAUAGAGAUAUGCGGUAAGAAAUCAUGAGACCAGAGAUGUCGGUGAUCGAGGAAAGGGGUCAGAGUGAGUUAAUGCGGGAAGUACUUGUUUGAGAAGGAUGAAUGUCUCCACGACAGGUGUUUAUUGGUCAGGAAUCGGGCAUUGGUCGGUGUUGGGGCAAGUAGAUAGAGAAUGAUUGGGCAGCCAACUCCCGGUUCGGUAUGCGUAUCCUUGUUUGGAUUUUGAGCGACGGGAAAAAGGGUUUCAGAGAAUUAUCAGCGUAUUUCGUAACGUUAGCGUUUCUUCGUAUUGCAAUUGAGAAAUUAGAUACACCGAAGUUGCAACUUGGGAAAAAUGAAGAUCUAAUUAUGGGGUUCAGAGGGAAUGUAUUAUUGCAUCUAUAUGGUGCUUGGGGCAGGAGAUCAGUGGUUGUGGCAGGGUCUUGUGAUGUUCGGUGGGGGUGUUCCGAGAUAUUUGGGUAUUGAUAUCUUUAUUUCGAAGUAUUCGUGAAUCUUGAGUUGAGACGACUUGUGGUAUAUCAGGUAUCUAUGGAUCUAGUGGGAACCCUUUCGAGUAUGGGCAUCUAGGGAGAUUAUUUAGGAGAGUAGAUCUUCGCAAGGGUGGGCAUAUUGAUAUGUUGAUUGCCUCCAGAGUCUGUGAUGCAUAUUCGAGUCAAGUAUGGGCAGCUGCUUAUGAUGGUCUGCGGAGCAUGAGCUAGUGGGGUCAGAGGGUGUUGUGAUACUGCGGGGAGCCGUAGUACUCACUAGUUAAAGGGUGUUGUGAUACCGCGGGGAGCCGUAGUACUCACUAAUCAGAGGGUGUUGUGAUACUGCGGGGAGCCGUAGUACUCACUAGUCAGAGGGUGUUGUGAUACCGCGGGGAGCCGUAGUACUCAAUAGAUGGCAAGGGAGUGUGAUGAUGGAAUGUUCUCUGAUCAGUGUAUGACGUGGAAGAGUGUUGGGCUUGAGUAGCCCUAGUAUUGAGUUUUGGAGCCUGGAUGUUGGAUCGGGGGCGAGACUGGGGUCCCCAUCUCUGUCAGGAAAUGUGGUGAGAUGCGCAAGGGAUAUGCGCAGCAGAAACCAGAGAUCAGAGUUGAGACGAUCCUCGGUUGGAUUGUAUUUUCUCGCAUAAGGAAAAGAGAAUUUCGUGACUUGCGUGUCACGGGGCCGGGAUAGUGGUCACGGGUAGGAAGUUAGUGGGAUAUUUGGAUCAGGAUAUGGGUGACCUUUGGAGGCUCAGCUGUGGAGUCAAAAGUUGACCUGGUGCUCAGUCUAGAAGAGGGAUAUGAGAAAUGAGCUAGAGCUUAUCAUGAACAUGUCUGAGGACACCUCAGAGGGAGAGAACGAUUCAGACGCUCAAAGACAUGCUUCGAGCAUGUGUAUUAGAUUACGGAGGGAAUUGCGGCACGUAUUUAUCCUUGGUUGAGUUAUCCUAUAUCAACAGCCAUCAUUAGUGCAUUGGUAUGCCACCCUUUGAGUUGUUGUAUGGGAGGAGGUAUCGGACCCUCAUUUGCUGGGGAAAGUGUUGAUUCGCGGAAGUGGAUGUAGUAGUGAGAAUGGAUGAUUUGGAGUAUGAUGGUCGAACAUUGUGUCUGUGACAGUGGUAUGGAAUGACAUCAUGAUGGGAUGUUUGCUGAGGGCGCGGAAGGGAUUCUGCGGGUGUAGAGCCAAGAGUCUCAGGAUGGAUGCAGGGAUGGAGUCUGGGACUCCCAGCUUGAUUCUGAUCAAGGGCUGUGUGUCGAGUUUUCCUAGUAGUGGUGGUUCUCCUGGGGAUGUUAGAGAUGUCGUCAGUGUGACGGGUUUUCCUAACCCGAGAGUGCGAAGGUUGGUGCGGCAUGAGUGUGUAAUUGCAAGAAGAGGACUCAUGGGAGUUACUCUGGGAUUGAAGAGUGGGUCUUUCCGUCAUCACGGAUUGGAUAGAAUGGGAUUCGGAUCGGGCAUCCGAUGGUUCAAGGCUUCUAACCCUUAAGGGUCGAGUGAUUGUUGAGAUUUGGGUCGAGUGAUUGUUGAGAUUUGGGUCAAUGAUGCUUCAUGGGUAAUUCUCGGAUCGUUGAGUGUGGUUAUCAGAGGGUACAUCCGGUGCCCGGUUCGAGACAGUGGUCAGGACACCGUAAGGAAAGGGAAAGUGUGUUCGAGUUUCGAUGGGUAUGCCUUGUGAGACCUGGUCCGAUUAAGGCCAGGUGGCACGUUGUGGGAAUAUUUCCGGAGUUGAGUUGCUGUAGGCUUCGAGGAUGAAGCCUAAUUUAAGUGGGGGAGAAUUGUAACAUCCCGAAAUAUCAAGAGUAGAGUUGAAGGGCUAAAAGAGUAAUUUAGGAAAGAGCGACUCGGCGAGUAGAGUCGUGACUUUGUCACGUGAUUAAGUAGCCGACUCGGCGAGUCAGUGAGAUGGACUCGGCCUCCUUAUCACCCCUUGAGUCCUAGAAAACCUAAUUUCGUGGAGAAACCCCAUUGUUGAGCAAAUUGGAGCUUGGAGAGGUGGUUCUUNACCCCUUGAGCCCCAGAAAACCCUAAAUCGCGGAGAAGCACCAUUGUUGAGUGGAUUGGAGCUUGGAGAAGUAAUUGUUGAAGGAAUUUUGGGAGAUUGAAGGCUUGGAGCAAGGGGCUUUGCUUGGAUUCGAAUUACAUUGCAGUUGGGGCAUCUCUUAGAGGUAAUAUCUCGUUAUUGGACUGUUGUUAUAUUGUUUCUUCAUUUUGGGGUUUGUGGGAACUUGUCGAUGGAUGUAAUUGGAAGUCUAGAGGUUAGAUCUGAGGUUGCUACCUCAGAUCUGGAAUGAAGAAGAAUCAGAGAGCAUGAAAGUCCCUGUGUUGGAGUGUUUAGUGAAGCUAUCAUGUCCCAAACCCUAGCUCUAAAGUGAAUAAGGCCUAGAUCUCUUUGGAUUCACGUAAAGUUUGCCACUUUACGUGAUGGAUGAGUGGUAGGAGGCUAGAUCUAUGUUUUGGAGCAAUUGCAUGGCCUGGAAUGCUUCUGAAUGGAUUCAGACCGGUGGUACUCGGCGAGUCACAUGGGUGUACUCGACGAGUUGGAUGAAGAUGGCCUGGAACUCGGCGAGUUGUAUGAACAACUCGGCGAGUAGGAUGAAGGAAGCCUUAGACUCGGCGAGUUUGUUCUUGGACUCAGCUAGUCUUGUCGAAGAGUCCCAAAUAUUUUCUGGUUGAGUCGAAAAUCGGCGAGUCAAGGGAUGACUCGGUGAGUUGUGUGCGAGUGGACUCAGAGUUGUUGGACUCGGCGAGUCUCGGAGUGACUCGGCGAGUUAGGUCGCGGAUUGAGUGAAGUUCUGAUUAUAGANGGAGGACUUUGACUUGGACCAAGAGUUGACCGUUGACUUUUAGGGCUUGGUCAGCGAUGUGGCCUUUGGUCCAAGAGAGGGGUAAAAUAGCCUUUUACCCUUAAGAGGGUGCCAUGAGAGGGUUGAUUCUAGUCUCGAGAGUUAUAUUCAUGAGAGUAUUUGCCUUACGUGUUAGGCGGUGGCGAGUUCGAGAUUCAGGUGUGGAGAUAUCUGCUUUCUGCUUUCCAGGUGAGUCUUCUCACUAUACUUUACCUUGAGUAGGUAACCAGAGUUAUGUGAUCAGAGUAUUUGUAUGCUAUAUGUACGUGAUGUGUUGUACUGCAUUAUUUCUAUGUGAUUUAUGUUGUGCAUGUUUUUAGAGUUGGAACCGGAAGGUUCCCAGAGUUAGAACCUGAGGGUUCACAGAGUUUGGGUGCACGGACCCAUAGAGUUAUAGCCUCGAGUGGCUAAUAUGUGUUAUGUGUGAUAUUUUGGGGAACUCACUAAGCUUCGUGCUUACAGUGUUUUGUGUUGUGUUGUUUUUUUCAGGUUUCUUUCAGUAUCACAGGACGGCACCGGCUUGAUUGUACACACCAGAGAAAGAGUCGUGUUUUGGAGGAUCCUGGUUUUCUAUGCAAGUGAAAAAGGAAUUUUGUUUUUGUAAUUCAUUUAUAAAUGAGAUUUUAAACAAGUGUUUCUAAUAAUUUACGAUUAUUUUAAAUGAAAAAUUGUUUUGAAAUUCACGGUGUUACAAAUAACUAAAAAGCCAUGGACAACAUGGCAUAUGAAGGAGAUUCCUCCAGAGAAUUUGUUUCUGGAAAGAUUUAGUAAUGCCACAGUGGAAGAGACAUUAGUUAUUAGACCAUCAAAGUUGUUGGAGCUUAAAUCUAUGGCUGAAUUGUUAUUAACUUUAUGACAGGUCGGGUACUUUCCCGCUUAUGUUGUUGGAAGAAAGAUUCAAGAAUGUUAACCAGGAAGGCCACGUGUCCCAAAACUCGAGAGGAAUUGUAUCUGAAAUACCAGUAUUUGCAAUAUCAAGACUGGUAAGAUUUUUCAAAUUUUGAAUCCAUUUGGGGAAGCGAGGCCCUAGAUUGCAAGAGCUGAAAUGAAUGAAUUCUAUAUCAGAAAGGUUUGACAUGUAAUCUGAGGUAGGAAAUCCUUGGAGUGAGUUUCCGGAAAGAUCAAGGUUUUGAAGUUUGGGAAGUUCCCACAGUUUCUUACUUAUAGUUCCUUUUAACAGAUUCUCAGAGAGGGACACAUCUAAUAGGGAUGUAAACUUUUGGAUCUCAUCAGGCAAUGACCCAGUAAGUUGGUUUGUUUCCGCAAACAACGAUUGUAAUGAAAGCGAUGUGACAAGUUAUUGAGAAAAUCGGGAAAUGUGACAACAACAGAGUUGUUAUCGAAGAACAAAGUUUCCAAACUACAGAUGUUACCAAAAUAUUUGGGUAUCCCAUCUAACAUGUUGUGAGAGAGAAAAAGUUCACGAAGCUUAUUGUUGGUUAAUAGGAACAACCAAUGAUACAUGUGUAAUACUAUGAAUCUUGAUGAUUUCAUUGAUACAAAUGAGUCCCCUAUAUAUACAGAGGGUAUAGGAGAGAUUAUAGGGAUUUAGAUAGAACUAUACUAGGAAACAACUAAUCAUUAUCAAUUUACAAUAAAUACAAUAAAUGGAGAUAUAUUCUACUAAUAGUCCCCCGCAGUCGAAACUGUAGCCGAGUGGAUGGAGAGACUGGAACGGAAGCGGGUGAAUAGCUGACGCGGUAAUCCCUUUGUGAAGAUAUCGACAUAUUGGUAAUCUGUGGGAACAUGAAGCACACGAAGAGAACCCAAACGAACUUUUUCUCGAACAAAGUGAAUAUCGAUUUCAACAUGUUUUCGUGUGUUGGUGUUGGACUGGGUUGUGUGUGAGAUAAACCGUAGAGAUGUUGUCGCAGUAAAUAAUCGUGGCUUGGCGCACCGGAAGAUGGAGCUCGAGAAGUAGGUUGCGUAGCCAUGCGGUUUCAGUUGCGGUGUUUGCGACUCCUUUGUAUUCUGUCCCGGUGCUAGACCGAGAGAUUGUGGGCUGCCUUUUAGAGGACCAUGAGACUAGGUUGUCUCCAAAGAAGACACAGUAUCCGGAAGUGGAGCGUCGAGAAUCAUGGUAUCCCCUCGGUCAGCAUCUGAAUAUGCAGUUAGGUUGGUAGAUUUGGAGGGAGUAAUGUGAAGGCCAUGGUUGGUGGUUCCUUUGAGAUAUCUGAGAAUGCACUUAAGAAAAUUGAAGUGUGGUUCACGAGGAUCAUGCAUGAAGAGGCACACUUGUUGUACCGCAUAGGCUAUAUCCGGUCGUGUGAUAAUGAGGUAUUGUAGAGCACCGACAAGGCUACAGUAGAGGGAGGUGUCAGAUAUUGGUUUUCCGACAGUGGCACUAAGCUUGGAACCUAUUUCGACAGGGGUUGCACUUGGCUUGCAAUUGUGCAUGUUGGCACGGGUUAAGAUGUCGUUGACAUAUUGGGCUUGAGAAAGGACUAUACCACUAUUUUGAUGUUGAACUUGGAUGCCUAGGAAGUGGUGAAGUUUGCCAAGGUCUGUCAUUGCAAAUUCUUUAGAUAAUAGAUCAAUGAAGUGUCGAAGAAGAGAUGUGCUUGAGGCAGUUAAGAUGAUGUCAUCGACAUAAACUAAAAGAUAUGCCAUUUGGUUUCCAUGCUUGUAAACAAAAAGAGAAGUGUCACUAUUGGUGCUUUUAAAACCGCAUGUUUGAAUGAAUGUUGCAAAUCGUUGGUACCAGGCUUGAGGGGCUUGUUUGAGUCUGUACAGAGAUUUUCGUAGGUGGCAUACCUGUGAUGGGUUUUUGGCAUCGACAAACCCCGGGGGUUGGAACAUGUAUACGGUUUCAUUUAACUCCCCAUGUAAGAAGGCAUUCUUUACAUCCAACUGAUGAAUUGGCCACGAUCGUGAUACAACAAGGCUAAGCACAAUCCGUAUCGUUGUGGGUUUAAACACUGGACUAAAAGUCUCAUCACAGUCCACACCCACUUGUUGGCAUUUACCAUUGAUUACUAAGCGUGAUUUGUAUCUUUCAAGUGUCCCGUCGGCAUGAAAUUUGUAUCGAAACAACCACAUACAUCGUAUAAUGUGAGCAUCGUGUGGGCGAGGCACUAGAUCCCAUGUGUGAUUUUCUAUUAAGGCCUUGUAUUCAUUGGUCAUAGUUGAGUUCCAGUUAGGAUCAGAAAUGGGCAUUUUAUAAGAUUUGGGUAGGGGUAAAAUGGUUGGAAUUUUGGAUGUGGUGUGAAGGUUAAAUGGGGUGUUUGGUUUAGAGAUGCCUACUCGGGAGCGAGUGGUCAUGGGGUAGGNNNNNNNNNNNNNNAGGGGGGUUUGGUGGGUGGGAUGUUGAUCGUCUAGAGUAUGUGAUGAGGGAUGGAGUAUUUGUUAAGGGUGGUGAUGGAUUUGUGUGAGAUGUGGGAUCUAAGGAGGAUGUUUCGGAUGGGAGAGUGGGUGUCAUAGUCUCGGGAGUUGGUUCGGAUGUGGGAGAAUUUUGAGUUGGAGAGGAUUGGGGAUUUUGAAAUAAGAGAGGUGAGGGGCCGGUGUCUAAGAACGAAUAAUUUGGUGGUGAGUUUGAUGGAAUAGUGGCAUAAGGGAAUGUUGUUUCGUCAAACGUGACGUGACGAGACAAGAUGAUUUUACCAGUGGAUAAGUCGUGGCAUCGGUAACCACAGUAAUUGGCUGGGUAUCCUAGGAAGACACAUGCGGUGGAUCGUGGGGAGAGUUUGUGUGAUCGAGUGGCGGAAAGGUUGGGGUAGCAUGCACACCCGAAGACCCGUAGGUGGUCAUAUGAAGGGUGUUUGAGGUAGAGUGCGGAAGUUGGAGCGUGGAAGUUAAGAAGUUUGGUUGGUAAGAUAUUAUGGAGGUAAGCGGUUGUAUAGAGUGCAUCAACCCAAAAGGUGGGUGGGAGAGAAGCAUGAGUGAGGAGAGGGAGCAUGAGUUCGUUGAUGCGACAGAUCAUGCGUUCUGCUUUUCCGUUUUGUUGGAGGUGUGUGGAAAAGAGAAGCAGAUGAGUAAGCCGGUGGUUGUGGCGAAUUGAUGGAAGUGGUGGUUUUCAAAUUCUCCUCCUUUGUCACAUUGAAAGGUUUUGAUGAUUUUAUGGAAUUGAGUGUGUAUGAAUUUGUGGACGUGUUUGAAUUUGUCAUAAGUUUCAGAUUUAAAUUUUAGGGGAAAAACCCAUGUAUAGUUGGUGUGGUCAUCGAUAAGGAGAAGAUAGUAUGUGUAACCACUUUUGCUUGGCAAAGGAGAGGUCCAUAAGCCAGUAUGGACUAGGUCAAAGGGUGUAAGAGUAGUAGAUGUAGAGUCAGUGAAUGGGAGACGUUUGUGUUUUGCGAGUUGACAUGAAGAACAUACAAAAGAAUUAUCAAGUUUAUUGCAAGAGAUAAGUUUAUUAGAACUAAGAAAGUCCAUUACAUGAUGACCCGGAUGUCCGAGUCUAUUAUGCCAAAAAGACGAAUUAGCGAAAACAAAACAAGAUAAACUUGGAGUGAUAAUAGGAACGUUGAUUGGAUAAAGAUCCCCAAUGCUAUUGUGCCUCGUCAGGAGUUUCCCAGUCUUGUAAACCUUCACAGAUAAACCAUAAGGGUCAAAUUCAACAGAUACAAGAUUAUCACGAGUAAAUUUUCGUACGGAUACAAGGUUUUAACAAUGUCAGGUGUGUAAAGUAUGUUUUUAAGAUGGAUAGGUUUGGAGGGGUAGGGUAAGGUCGAAUGACCUGAUCCUAAAACCGGCACCCAAUUUCCAUUGCCAACGAAUACGGUAGGACUAGAGCUGAUGCAUGUCGGGGUGCUCCUAAAGUAGGAAAAACCGGUUGUUCCUCUUUUCUUCAGGAGUGUGAUAGUUACUGAAGGUGAAUGCAGAAGUAUGUCCACGAAAAGUCAUUUCCAGCCUAUGAAAAAGCUACAGAAAAUGGCAGAGGUUUGUCUCACUUUACAAAUAUGUUGCACAUUUGAUGCUUUUAUAUUUGUUUAUAGUAAGAUCAUUAUUAUUUUUGUUGAUAAUGGAAUAUGCCUAUCCUUUAGAGCAAGCGGGUAAAUUUGUGGAAUUGAGGAUCAAUACAUGCAAUUAGCAAAAAAAAAAGGUUAUUCACAUUUGUGUGCUUUAGUCUUAAUAAUUUUAUGGAUGAUACUUUAUAAAAAGUUUUUUAAACAUCAAAAUAGUAAAGUAUGUUGCUAUUUCUAAACUUUUUCCCAUUGCAUCAAAUCUCCGCACUCAAUUAUGCAUGACGCCCUUCAGUUGGCAACAAAGUAAGAUCGUGUAUUUAUAUCUCAUGUUCUUUUUUUCUCAAAAUAAUGUUAAUAUUCUAUAUAAAUUUAAUUUCUCUUAACAGGACACCCAGUAAGGAUUUUAUUAGAUUGGAUCAAAAUAUACUGUAUCCACUUGCUAGAAAGAAAUAAUUAUAUACUUAGAGACAAAAUUUAAAUUUUUUUUAAUCGUUUUAACUACUAAACCGUUUUAGUAUUAAUCAUAAUGAUAACACUUCACUUUUGUUGUUAACCAAUAAUACUUUAUCUUUUCAUUGAAACCACAAAAGUUUCAGAUAUCUUCUUGGAUUGACCAUUUGACCUGUUAUCACAUGCUUUCAGGGGGAAACAUAAUUAAGUGGCAUAAAAAUGGUUGAUUUGAAUAAAUUUAGGAAACCUUUGCUGUUGGAAUAGAAAGAAAAACAAAGUAAGUGUGGUGAAACCACAGAUCUGUCCAAAAUAGUGUUUUCAUUUUUUUGUUUUUUUUUUAUUGUAAUAUGCCCUUUUAUCCCUUUUGUCUUCUUUUGUGCUUUGAGAUUUUUCUAUGCAUGAAAAUGUUGAUAAAUCUUUUAUGUAGGUUGCAUAUGUGCACAUGGAAGUAGAACAAAAAACUGUUAGAAUUGGGGUAUAGAAAACUUGCAAAUUCUAAGAAUCGUGGCUUUCACUUUCAGAUUAAAGUAUUUGGGUGGUACUCCCAAUCUUUAAUCGGAUAAGACUCAGAAUUGAGAGAAAAUAGAAGAGAGAAUGUUUUGAUGUUAUGAAGAAGAAGGGUACCAACCACAGAUUCGGAUAUGAUCAUAUAACAGAAAAAACUUCCUGUCUUAAAACUGCCACAUGACAGUUUUUUUGUGUCCUAAAACUGUCCACAAACGGACAUAAACAACCUUAAAUCUGGGUCUAUUAUGUGGAUCAAAAAACUGGGUACAUUUAUCAAAAUCAGGAUUUCUGAUGCAAUUUUAAUAUAGUAACAUAACAUAUAUAAAAAAAAAUUUCGCGCUGACCUGGCAGCUCGAUCCCAGCUAGGGGCUCUGCCCUUGAGUAGUCAAGUUGAGACACUGGAGAUCUUUUAUUAGGUAGAAGCUCAAGACUAGGAUCUAUAGGAGUGCUAACAGGAGAACAAUUCUCAAAGUGAAACUUUUUCAAGAUCUUCUCAAUAUAAUGAGAUUGAGAAAUUGAAAUCUCAUUGUUUCCUUUUCUAAUUCUUAUACCAAGAAUUACCUCAGCCUCCCCCAUGUCUUUCAUAUCAAAACUAGAUGAUAAAAAUUUCUUCGUUUUAUCAACUUCUUCUAAAUCAGUACCAAAAAUCAACAUAUCAUCUACAUAUAAGCAAAUCAUGACUCCUUUACCAGAAGUAUCAAAGUUGCCAUAUACACACUUGUCAGCUUGGUUUAGUGCAAAACCAUUAGAAAAGACAACGUCAUCAAACUUUUGAUGCCAUUGUUUUGGUGCUUUUUCCAAACCAUAUAAUGAUUUCUUCAGCUUGCACACUUUGUGUUCAAUUCCAGACAUCACAAACUCUUCAGGUUGUUUCAUGUAUAUUUCCUCAUCCAAGUCACCAUUCAAGAAUGCAGUUUUUAUAUCCAUUUGGUGAAUCACAAGAUUAUGUAUAGCUGCAAGAGCUAAUAAUAAUCUAAUAGUAGAAAUUCUGGUAACAGGAGAAUAAGUAUCAAAGAAAUCAAUGCCUUCCUUUUGUCUAAAGCCUUGGAUAACCAAUCUGGCUUUAUACUUAUCAAUAGUGCUAUCCACCUUCAUUUUCCUUUUGAGGAUCCAUUUACAUCUUAAUGCCUUGCAACCAGGAGGUAAAUCAGCCAAUACCCAAGUAUUGUUAUGCAUGAUAGAAUCAAUCUCAUCAUGAAUUGCCUCUUUCCAGAAAUGAACAUCCCUAGAAUCCAUAGCUUCACUGAAAGUCUUUGGAUCCUCUUCAAUAUUAAAACAAUAUUGAUGUUGAGAAAUAGUCUCAUUCCUUGUUCCUUCAACUAAAUAUAGUUGAAAAUCAGAUCCAAAAGACUUAGCUUUUCUAGCUCUGGUGCUUUUCCUAGGUUCAAAACUUGCACCACCAGAAACAUCUUCAACUUGAGUAGUACUCUUGCUAGAAGAUUGAUGAACCAUGUCCCUUGGUCUAGGUAUAGAUGUAAAUCUUUCUUCAUCAAAGAUAGCAUCUCUUGACUCUAUCACUGUGUUUACAGACACAGAGUCAUUAGAUUCUAAAACAUAGAAUCUAUAUGCUUUGGAAUGCUCAACAUAUCCAAUAAAGAUACAAUCUAUACCUCUCUCACCCAAUGUUUUCCUUUUGGGUUCAGUGAGCCUUACAACUGCUCUACAACCCCAAACUUUGAGAUAACUCAAAUUUGGUACCUUUUUACACCAAAGUUCAUAAGGAGUAUUCUUACUCCUUUUAUUUGGAGUUCUAUUUAAGAUGUAACAUGCAGUUAACAUUGCCUUACCCCAAAACCCUUCACUUAAACCAGAAUAUGACAACAUGGAAUUAACCAUUUCUUUCAAGGUGCUAUUCUUCCUUUCAGCUACACCAUUUUGUUAUGGUGUAUAUGGAGCUAUGGUUUGAUGUAUUAUUCCAGUUGAUUCAAAAUAAACUGGAUCAUAAUACUCAGCACCUCUAUCAGGACGCAAUACUUUUAAUAAUUCAUUUUUAUGAAGCUCAACUUGUUGUUUAUAAAUUUUAAAUUUAUCAAGUGCUUCAUCCUUAGAAUGUAGCAAAUAGAUAUAACAAUAUCUAGAUGCAUCAUCAAUAAAAGGAAUAACAUACUUCUUGUUUCCAAGGGAAGGUGGUGCAUGGAAAUCACAUAAAUCACUAUGUAUAAGAUCCAAGGGACAUGGUUGAAAGGUUAUCUAGUGAUUUUAGUUAGCAUGCAUGUUUUACAUUUUUCAUUACAAGAGAUUGAAAGAUUUACAUCUAUGGUUGAAAGGUUGUCUAGUGAUUUUAGUUAGAAUUGGUGUAUAGAAAACUUGGAAAUUCUGAGAAUCGUGGCUUUCACUUUCAGAUUAAAGUAUUCGGGUGGUACUGCCAAUCUUUAAUCGGAUAAGACUCAGAAUUGAGAGAAAACAGAAGAGAGAAUGUUUUGAUGUUAUGAAGAAGAAGUGUACCAACCAUAGAUUCGGAUAUGAUCAUAUAACAGAAAAAACUUCCUAUCUUAAAACUGCCAAAUGACAGUUUUUUUUUUGUCCUAAAGCUAUCUACAAACGGUCAUAAACAACCUUUAACUCGGGUCUAGAAUAUGGAUCACAAAACUGGGUACAUUUAUCAAAAUCAGGAUUUCUGAUGCAAUUUUAAUAUCGAUCCCAUCCAGCGGCUCUGCCCCUUGGACUCCACCAGGGGCUGCCGCCCCUUAGACCCCGCUCCUAGGGGCGCUGCCCCCGGACCCCCGUCGGUUUAGGGGCUUCGCCCCUAAAUAGCAGUAUACUUUCAACAAAGACAAAAUUAAACAAAUGUGCACUCCACACCAUACCGAUUUGUUCAAUAAUUGUCAAAGUAACAUUGAUCAACAAAUUAACCCCAUUACACUUAAAUAACAUUAGUGAUAUAAAAUCACCAACAAAAACUGCAUAUCAAGAAGUCAUUAAAGAGUAUCGUGCAGUUGCACAUGCACGAAUGAUCAAAUAUGGACAAGUUAAAACUCCUGAUCUUCCUAAGUGCCAGAUUUCAAAGUAUUUUGUUAAAUUCAGAAAGGUGUGAGUAAUUAUUCCAUUUAAUUAUGAAAAGAAUACAUAAAUUAAACACAUGUUUAUAAUUUCAAUAUAUGUUUGUUUUUAAUAUCAGAUUGCAAACCAUCCUUUAUUGGUGAGGUGUAUUUACACAGAUAAAGAUGUCAUCAGAUUCGCCAAAAUGUUGCAUCCCAGAGGUGUAUUUGGUGUUGAGUGUACUUUGGAUAGAGUAAUUGAGGAGGUUAAGGGUUACAAUGACUUUUCAGUUCACAAGGUAAUUAAUUUGUCCCUAUUUUGUUUUAAACUUUUGAUUCAUUACUUUUAACAAAAUCCUUAGGUAGGAAAUAUUCAAUAAAUUGCCAAAAAUAGUAAUGUAAUAUAUGCAAAUGUAGUUUACUUUUUCCCUAGGCGAUACUCCUCUUUAUGAGAGUCUUCUUCACAAUCGUUAAGUUGUUGGUGUUCUCCAAUAUGUUACAUUAUACAAAACGGACAUCGUUUAUGCAGUCAACAAAGUCUGUCAAUUCAUGCGUUCUCCAACAACCAAACACUGGUUUGUUGUUAAACGGAUUCUAAGGUAUCUUCGCGACACCAACAGUUUUAGACUUCGGCCCACACUGUCCCGUGACACCACCAUUCAUGAAUAUGUUGAUGCAAACAUUGCGGUUACCACCUACUCUAAAGUUGAUUAGGUUGGGUGUUUGGAUGGUGGUCGAUCCACUAGGAGACACAAAAUCUAUCUUGGUUCGAAUCUUGGUCAACAAGUAAGCAAGUAAACAGAAGACUGUGUCUCAUUCAUCCACUAAGGAAACAGAAGACCGUGUCUUGUUCAUUGAAUGAGGCUGAGUAUAAAUCCCUAGCUGAUACGGUAGCCAAAGUAACCUGGCUUGAAACCUUAUUAUGUGAACUACGCAUCCCGGUCACUGUAGCACUAGUUUUAUGGUGUGCUAAUUUUGGUGCCACUUAUUUGUUUGCUAAUCCUAUCUUCCAUGCCCGCACAAAACAUUUUGAGGUUGCUACUAAGAGGCUAUCAGUUCAUUUGAUAUCCACAUUUGAUCAAAUUGUAGAUAUAUUCACUAGGCCAUUGUCUUCACAAAGAUCUGAGGGGUUACGACCCAACCUUCAAGUCCUUACCAGGCCUUAGCUUGCACGAGAAUAUUAGACAAAUUAUAUUAGUAUAGCGUCUACUAUGUAAUUAUAUUUUAGUUUAUACAUACAUAUAUAUAUAUAUAUAUAUAUAUAUAUAUAUAUNUAUAUAUAUAUAUAUAUAUCCCUAAUUUAUUAUGUUAAUGAACAAUAAUACAAUACGUUUACAUCAAGUUUACUCCUAACUUUAGUAAACUAGGAAUGGUCUUUAGGGUUUGGAAUCUGCAUCUAUCGGUUUCUAACUCUAUUUUUUCCAAUUAGAGAGUUCUUAUAAUUUGAUUUCCUUUUGAGUGAUCAAGUAUUAACAAAACCUAAAUAAAAGUGAACAAAUUAAAUAUAUUUAUGGUAAUAAGGCCUAGGGUCCCAUUUGGACAUGAGGCUGAUCCCAUUCACUACAGACACUAAGUAUAAAGGUAAGAAAAUGUAUGUUUUAAUAAUAUUGUUCAAAGUACUGAAACAUAUACAUGUUGAACCAAACUUGUCAAUGUCGUUUUUGUAAUUAACUCUCCAAUGAAGAACCCACUUCCCUGGAAGGUUGUAUCCUACAGUUAGUUGCCAAUUUUCCUCAUCCUUACCACUGUCUAAUCUGAUUAAUAUAAAUGAUAAAUAACUUUAACAAAGUAAAUAAACAAAAUGACCUUUUGGUAAAGCGAAACUUACAGAAUAUAUCCUAUCUAACCAUGGGGUAAACCCGUUGGAACAAUUAAAGAUGAUGUAUGAAACGAAGUAAGUUAAGCAUUUUAACAAACAGUUUGUGUGCAAAAAAAGUUGUGCUUAAAUGAAAUUUCAUGUAAAUCACUUCUUUGCCUACUAUGAUAACAAUCACAUGAGGAAGAAAGUAAUAAAAAUUAAAACCUAAAACUAUAGUUGCUAGUUUAUCAGGGUGGGAAUCAAAGAGCCUACCGGAGUUGAGGAUACGCCAGAUGCAUGACGACUUCAAUGGUGGACGAAGAAGGCAGAGCAUCGGGUGCAAAUGGUGAACGAAGAAGGAGUGAGAGACGCAUAUCAGGAAAUGAUUCGCGUAUCGCUGAAUUUCUUGUGUGUUUAAAAACGACAUCCAACCAAAAAUGCCAAAACAUCAACAAUCCCAAUGUAUCGGAAAAUGUCAUACAAAUUCCACGUAUCCAUGAAGCCGGAGAUGAAAAAUCGACAAAAAUAAAAACCAUGUUUUGUUCAUCGGCGAAAGCAAAACCACCUAACUCGUGCCAAACCAUCCAAGCUGUGAGCUCCAAACUUGUAACUAUUCAUAAUCCGUAUCCACAAUUAAUAUCUAUAUCUAUAUCUAUAUCUAUAUCUAUAUCUAUAUCCAUAUCAAUCUAUCUAUAUCUAUAUCUAUAUCUAUCUAUAUCUAUAUCUAUAUAUAUAUAUAUAUUAUAAAGCUAACAUUUUUCCUUGAACCUCAUGCAUUUGAAACUCCUAAGGCUGUUCAACUUAUAUUUUUACUCAAACCAUAUUCAUUUGAAACUUCCUAUUUAAAUGAAUACCAUUCAAAAGUCUCUUAAUAAUGAUUAACUAUUCAAAAGUUUUAUAACUUAUAUAAUAUGUUUAAUAAGCAAUUAAUAGAUAGUCUACUAUAAAAAGAUCAAUCUCUUUGAGUAGAAACACAAAUACAAAUCACAUACAAAUUUCACAAAGUAAACAAGUUUAAAGGUUUUUGUGUUUGUUUGAGGGCUUUGGACCAUUUUCGAGCCAUGUUAUUAUGUUAAAGUUUUUUAAUUUGUAAGUUAGUUAUAUACUAAUCCUUAUAUAUAUAUAUAUAUAUAUAUAUAUAUNUGGUUUAAGUAUUCUUUGAAGACAAUCAUUGUAUAUUGUGGAUGAAAUUUAAAUGUAAAUUAGAUUAGAUGCAUAUUAUCGAUCAUAUGAUAUGGAAUGUGAUAUAAAUAGUAUUUAAUUAGAUAUUGUAUAUAUAUGUUUGUAUAUUUGUGUUGCUUCAAAGAAAUAAUUAAUUAAAAAUCAUGGAUAUGUCAUAUUAUCCAUAUUAUCCAUAUAAGUCUUUUUUAAAAUGCAAAUUAUCUAUCUUAUAACUUUAUAUUUUAUUAUAUGUUUUAACAUUUUAAUUAUAAUAGUAAGUGUUUUUUAAAUGUUUUCUUUCACUUAAUAAUAAUAAUAAUAAUAAUAAUAAUAAUAAUAAUAAUAAUAAUAAAUGGUAAACUAGAAAAAUCAUGGAUAUUUUAUAUUAUCCAUGAAAGUCUCUUUUGAAAUGUAAAUUGUCAAUAUUAUCACUUUAUUAUUUAGUAUAUCUUUCAUAUUUAAGUAAUAAUACUUAGUGUUUCAUAAAAGUCUUGUUUAAAUUAUUAAUAAUAAUAAGUGGUUUAGGUUAAUGAGCAAUAAUUUUAAAUGAUAAUAACAUCAAAUUAAAAAUUAUGUAACGUUAGUUACAAAUAAUUUGUAUUCUAAAUGUUCAUCAUUUUUGACAUUAGAAAAUAAUCGCAUAAGUAAAAAAUUUAAAUUAAUCAAUCAUAAUAUUUUUUAUAAAUAAUACUAAAUAGAUAAUUAUAUUUAAUUCUAUUAACGAGGAAGGUGGGUUGAUGUCAAUGAAUAAUAUUGUUCAAAAUAGUUGAGAUUUUAUAUAUAUAAUUUAGUGUAAAAAUAUUAUGUCAAAGUUAAUGUCAAUAAAUAACCAUUUUAAACAUAUAUUUUUCAAUAUUUUAACAAUCCUAUUUUUAACAUGCAACGCGCAAAAAUUCGUCUAGUGUUAUAUAAUAUCCUACAAAUUGUAAGCACAACUAGACCACUUUUAUAAAUUUAAUAUAAUAUAGACCAUUUUUAUAAUUUUGUAUUAAACUAUGACGAAAGUGGUUACUUAUUUAUAAAGUUGCAGAAAUCGUUGAUGUAGGCUAAUUGGUGGACUGGGGUCAAGGUUGAUAGGCUAAGCGGAAAUUAAUCAGGGACCAUUAAUUAUUAAAAAAAUACUCCAUCCGUCCCAAUAUUUGUGACAACCAUCAAAUUCUAGUCAAUUCAAAGUCAAAUAAAGUCAACAAGUCAAACCGGUCAACUCAACUAACCCUUGUGUACUAGGGCUUACGUUAUAUAUUUACUAAACAACUCGCUAUUCUGAUGAGAAAAUCAUAAAUCGAAAAGUACAUACAACCAGAUCUCCUUAACCUAAAACUGUGGUAAGUGGCAAGCCAAACCGAUAAAACAAUGUUGCAUACUCAUCGGGAGUGUAUAAGAUCCUUAAACAAGGCUUUACAGGGUUUACAGACCCAUCAUCGCGAAGCCGGGUACUCAAAAAGGUCACAAAUGAAACCUCUCCCAAUCGUUUUCACUAAAUCUCUCUCAAAUAUCUCUUUGUAUGAGAAAUCCCUUUAAGAAUGUCAAAUCUCUCCUAAAUCUCUCCAAGUAUGUGAAAUCUCUCUCAAAUAUCUCUUUGUAUUGAGAAAUCUCUCCAAGAAUGUCAAAUCUCUCCAAGUAUGUGGAAUCUCUCUCAAAUAUCUCUUUGUAUGAGAAAUCUCUCUAAGAAUGUCAAAUCUCUCCCAAAUCUCUCCAACUAUGUGAAAUCUCUCUCAAAUAUCUCUUUGUAUGAGAAAUCUCUUCAAGAAUGUCAAAUCUCUCCCAAAUCUCUCCAAGUAUGUGAAAUCUCUCGCAAAUAUCUCUUUGUAUGAGAAAUCUCUCCAAAAAUGUCAAAUCUCUCCCAAAUCUCUCCAAGUAUGUGAAAUCUCUCUCAAAAGUUCCUGUAACGUUUUAGAAUCAUUCGGGUCAUUUCGACCCUUAACCGGGUCAAAAACGGUACAAAACGGAGUGAAAACGAGUAAAAUAGGCUUUAGGAACCGAAACCCUUCUUAGGAACCGAAACCAAGAAGAGAGGCCUCUCGGGCCGAAACUCGCGAGGACCGAGCCUCUACUCUGGGUCUCCCUUCUCGGUUCCCUUACCCGCCUCUCGGUUCCCUUGCUUCCCUCUCUGUCUCCUCGCCUACUCUCGGUCUCUAUCUCUCUAUCCGCCUCUCUGCUUCUGUUCGCCUCUCAGCCUUCUCUCCUCUCGGUUUCUGUCUCUUUCUCUCCUCUCUGUCUUCUCGCGCCUCUCUGUUCUCUCUUCCCACCUCUCGGUCUCUGCUCCCUCUCUUCUCUUCUCUCGGUUUCUUCUCCCACCUCUCGGUCUCUGCUCUCUCUCUUCUCCCCUCUCGGUUUCUGCCCUCUCUCCUCUCGGUUCCAACAUCAGAAGACCGAAACUCGGCCAGAUUUCGGAAUUUUGUCAUUUUUAGCCCAUUUUUGAUAUUUUUAACAUUUUAAGCCCGUUUUUCGUGAUUUUAAAGCGGGAUUUUCUCCAGAAAUUAUAUUUUAACAUAAUAAACCCUAAAUAUUCAUAAUUUAAACAUAUUUUCAUGAAAAUCAUUAUUUAAAUAAUAAAAAUCUAAUGGGUGAUUUAUUUAAGGUGGAGUGUUGACCUUGCCUUAUCUUAUGUCACAAGCAACCACCCCACACCCACUCUAUGACCAGCCAUACCUCCCCACCUUACCUAGGUCACUUCAAUGUCCCCUACACUCAAUUUCUACCCAUUCCCACGUUUUUAGAGCUGGAGCAAAACAUCCUCUCUCCUCAUUUCUCUCAUUUGCUCUCAUUUCACCAAGAAUCAAACAACCACUUUUCUCUCAAAAUUUUUCUACAAAAUUCGAGAUUCAAGGGCUGAUCUUGAGUUUUUCCUCCACAUUUGGUAAGUAUAAUCCAUCCUUCAUAUGAUUAUUUCACUUCCUACUACACAAAUCAAAGAUAUCUUACACAAACUCCAUCAUAUUUGUGUUAGAUCUUCGAGUCUUCAAGUGAUUCUUCAAGUGUUCUUGGGUUGAACACUUCUCUUCUUCAACACUUAUCUACUGAAAUCACUCAAGGUGAGUUCAUACCCCUACAUUUUCAUGUUUUCUCAUGUUUUCAGGGGAGGAAUACAAGUUAAAACACCAAGAACAUAACUAAAAAUUUUCUAACAGCCUUCAUCAGAAAAUUUCAACUCCAUUCACGGACUGUUUUGGAAAUUUUAAACAUUUUUGUUUUCAAAACUGUACAAGGUGCAAAUAGUUCAAGUUCUUAGAUUUAAAAUGACUACUUGCACAUCUCCAUACGAUUUUUCUACAAUUUAUGGUGAUUUUUACAAAACUGCCUAUCAUUUCAAACAACAAUCCGGACCAGUCUGUGAUUUUGGACUUAUUCACCCAAGUUUGAGGUCAUUAAAAUCAUAAAAAAAAUUAUGAGUAAACUAGACACAUUUUAUGAAAUCUCAGAAUUUACGGAUCUAGUUUUCGACUUCGUAUGAUUUUUCUAUGAUUUUUCUAAAACAGUGCAGAAAGAUUAAGAAUUAGUUAACAACUUCUAACUAUCAAAACACUUUGUAACAUGUUGAGCAAAGUGUUAAGUCUUUGAUGACUUCGUAUAUUUCAUGCAUUUCUUGUUAUGAUAUAUUUGUAUAAUAGGAAAUUACUUACUGAAUUUAUAAGAAUCCUCCAUCAUAAUCAUUAGCACAAAACAAAGCAAGUUAAACAUAGCUAUAUUGUACUAUACAUUUGACUUACAUAGAAUGGGAUUCUUAAACCCCAUAAAGAAAUAUACUAAACUAUAAUAGGUAUAGUUAGGGUUCAUAUACAUUUCAAACAUUUUAAUAAACUAUAAUAGUUAUAGUUUAUGAUCAUUUACAUAACAUACUCGUACAAAAGGAGUACAAAUACAAAGUGUCGGGUUUAUAUAUAAAAGGGGUAUAAAUACAAAGUGCCGGUUUUUAUACAAAAAGGGGUACAAAUACAAAGUGUCGGGUUUAUAUAUAAAAAGGGGUACAAAUACAAAGUGCCGGUUUUUAUACAAAAAGGGGUACAAAUACAAAGUGUCGGGUUUAUAUACAAUAAGGGGUACAAAUACAAAGUGCUGGUUUUUAUACAAAAAAGGGGUACAAAUACAAAGUGUCGGGUUUACAUACAAAAAGGGGUACAAAUACAAAGUGCCGGUUUUUAUACAAAAAGGGGUACAAAUACAAAGUGCUGGGUCUUUAUAUAAAAAGGGGGUACCGAUACAAAGUACCAGGUUCACUUAAAAUAGUUAUUAUGAUAUUAAAACUAUAUUUCAUCUAGAUUUGUUAGACUUCAACUAAAAUCACUGAGUGUACAUGUUUGAGUCAUAUAAGAAUUUAGUCUUGAUUGGCCUAAAAUUAGUGGUGCCUGCCUCAUCUUCUAUUCCUUGUUUGGUUGUGGACCUAGGGCAGACCCACUAUAUUCAACAUUUUAUCUAAUUUAAACCUUAUAUAACUUAUAUACGCUGGACGAUUAUAGAGGAACUCUACGGGUCAUUCUAGUGUUCAUUAAUGCAUCAUAUAGGAAUAUUUCUAUUCACACUUAACUAAGAAAAUAUUGGAUUUUUCUGGAAAUCAAACCAUAUCGAUUUUACAAGGAAAACGGUUUCUACUUCAAACAAAACUCUUAUGAACUCACCAACUUAAUUGUUGACCCUUUUCAAAACUACUUGUAUUCUCAGGAAAUCAAUGAAACAGGAAAACUUCAGCGCUUUGAGGAUGGGAUGUUAAACCAUCAAUAAUUUACUUUUGUCAUCAUAAUGUAAUUGAUUUUGAAACAUGUAAACAUAUACUUUGGUGUAACUUUUUCAAUUAGAUUUAUGUUGGUUGUAUUUACUUUGAGCACUAUUAUAUUCGUUGUUGUGAUACUGUACAUGAAGUCCUCUACCCCCGGACGUUUCCGCCAUCCUUGGUUUGGGGGUGUGACAGAUUGGUAUCAGAGCAUUGUUUAUAGUGAACUAAGUAUAUCGAACCACAUAAGAUAUACAAACUAUAAAUGCAUCGGGACUAAGGUCUCUGAUUUAAAGUUUUCAAAACAACUAUACUUUUAGAAAUAAAUAGCUUCUUGUUAAAAGUAUACAUGCAUGCAUACAUACUAAGGUCAGCAUCAUUUUAGGACAAAACAAAAGUAAUGAUUGUUGGAUAUCACAGGUAAGCUUGGGGAUGUAUGGUCAGUCUUGGGAGUGGCAUAGCCUGAUCAACUAUGCUGGUCCGAGGAGUGAUUAGCAUAUGCCCAAGAAUGGUUGUGAUGUGGCAACAAGUCAAAAAAAAAAAAAAAAACUUACCGACACUACCACAAUGAAAUACCAUAGGGGUAUUUGGUGUUAUUAUAAUUACUUAUCUGAGAACUAAAUAGAUUUUUAUCAAUAGGUCAAUAAUUGCUUAGUGGAUACAUUAAAAAUUUUAUGUAUCCAGGACGUCAUAGACUUAGAAUCUGUGGAUCUUUGCUCUACUUCCUGUUCUCGUUGGAUUGGGGAUUUAGAGUUAGGGUCUCUUAUUCGAAGUUCUAUCCUGUCCCGAAUACAUAUGACUAGUAUGCACUAAACAAUGCGUUGAAGUACCUGAUAAAGAUCAUCAUGUAAUUAUCUAAUUAGUACGUCUACUUAGUUAUUUCUUAUAUCCCCAUUUCUCGCAUGGAUAACAUGGCUGGAUUUCCUUCCCCACGAUGACCCGUACUACCCUAACCACGACAAUACCAAAUGGCUCGGAGAGGAGUCAGAGAAUGAUUACGCAACCCCUGUGGAUGGUCACCAACCUGAAGGCUUUGCUGAUGAUUCUGACCCACAACCUAAAGUGGAGAACUUAACCCCGAUGACCCUUGUUCCAAAUCCCAACCCUCGACCGGUUUUUCAAGUCUCGAUGCCUCCUUGGGUAGAGUGCUUGGAAACCUAGAGCGAAGAACAAGACCAACCUAUGUCGUUUAAUAGAGAACGAAGCUUCUACAACAUAAACGAAGGAAGCUCAGUAGAUAGAAUUUUUCCAAUCCUGGUCCGUAGAGUUGCCCGAAACGAGAUUCAGGGUAGAACAACUCUCCAUAGUAUCGCAGAGGUUGAUGCAAAUGCAAGAAUACAUACGAUCCGCACCAAUCGCCUUGAGCACACUCGUGAAUAGUCUGAGAGAGACCAUGAAACCUUGAUGAGAGCACAGGCUGAAACACGAACCGAAGUCAUAGAACUCCGAAUACGCUAGAGGGUGUACGAAAGGCCCAUGCUUGAUAUGGAGCGGCAACUAGCUAAACUGAGGGUUCACCAGAGGGAAGACCACCGCCAGUAGUAGAUGCCUUACUUUCUUUCCCUAUUAACAAGGAAUUUUUCUUUUCCCUAUCUAUGCCCUAUGUGGCAUUUUCUACGAAACCAUCUUGUACUGUAAGUACUUUUAGUUAGGCCUUUAGGCGGCCAAAACUCUCCUGCUCCGGAUGUGAUGUAAGACCCUCUCCAAGGUCAAUUUUCCCCAAUUUGCUACAUCUUAAACAUCAAUGACGUUGUCAGUCAGAUGAAUUCUGUGACACUCUUUGUUCGAAUACUUCCUAAUGAGUCUAUCUGAAACCCACUUUAGUCAAGUUGUUGGACUAGAGUAAUUUAGCUCCGGGAUCGUUCCCAAUUUCUUUCCAAGGUUGGAUCACGUUAUUCACCAACCAAUGGAACCCGAUUUUGAAACGAUAAACGUCAUAAGAUCAUUCUCCGAACUUACUCCUACUCUACUAUAAGACUGCAUCAUAUGGAUGUAGGUCAAACCUUCGAGAACAUACUUCAAUUGGUCAUAAUAAGGACCUAGCUUGGGUAAAGUGUAAGGCUUCACUUGGAUACAAAACCUACUAAACUCAUGAAGUUCAUUCAUAUGGACUUCCUUUAUGAAUUACAUAUAAGGCAUUCUUAAAUCGGAGAAUAAUGCAGGAAAAAUCUAAUUCUAUAGCAACUGACUUGUCUUUGCUAGUAGAAACUUACCAUCUGAUCAUUUUUUUUUUUUUUUUUUUUUUUUUUUUACAUNNNNNNNNNNNNNNNNNNNNNNNNNUCCCACCAAGGAAAAGACCCAGCCCUUCCGGCAGCACAGCACCACCACCUCCAACGCCACCUCUUCAGUUUGAUCCCGCAAUGUUCCAAGCUGCAGUAACAGCAGCCGUGGUGGCUGUAAUGUGACAAAUUGGUACAAAUAGCACUGGUGGUGCUGGAUCUGGAGCCACAAACUCUAACCACGAGGAUAGUACAGGACGCACAAAGGAAUGCACUUACAAGGACUUCACAAAUGGAAAACCCGAUUCCUUCGAUGGAGGUGGGGGUGUCCUCGCACUAAUUCAAUGGUUCGAGAGAACCGAAGCAAUCUUCGAGAUUUGUGCUUGCCCCGAAGCGAGCAAAGUCCAGUACGCGACAUUCACCUUCAUCGGAAGAGCUCUCACUUAGUGGAAUGGCAGAGUUAAGUCGCUUACGCUUGCAGUGGCUAACUCGUUAAGUUGGGAGGACUUAAAGAAGAUGAUGCUGAAGGAAUAUUGCUCAAGAGGUGAAGUGCAAAAGCUGGAGCAAGAACUGUGGAAUCAGGCAAUGACCCUGUAAAUUGGCUUCCUGAAGCAGACAACCGCGAUGUGCAUCCAGACAAGUUUUUGAGAAAAUCAGGAAAUUUGACAGCAGCAGAGUUGCUAUGAAAGAACAACCAUCCCAAACUAGAGAGGUUACCAAGAUAUUUGGGUAUCCCAUCUAACAUGUUGCCAGAGAGAUCAAGAUAUAUAAGGCUAUUGCUGGUUAAUGGGAACAACCAACGAUACAUGGAUGAGGUGAGACUGUUGUUUCCGAGAGAAAGGUAUUCAAUAGAUGAGGAAUAAGAAGAGUUGAGAAAUGAAGAAGAAUAUGGAUACAUGACCUGUGACAGCUCACA